rnacentral:lncRNA from 1 species
CUUAACCCUCAUGCCCUCAGCUCUCUCCUCUCUCACUCCCACAGCCCCUCUCUCUCUCUAGCUUUCUCUCUCUCUCUAACCGGUUGGGAGAAAAGAAGAAGAAGAAAAAGAGAAGGAAAAAGAGAGGAAGAAAAGGAAGGAGAAGAAGGCGAAGAAGGUUUUGAAGUCCUUCUUCAUCUCGUUUUUGGCCUAGGGCUUGCUUUGGAGCAAACCCUAGAGGUAAGCCUCAACCCCUUUCAUGGUAACUUGUGAUUUCUAGGGUUUGGAUGGUUUUUGUUGCUUUUGAUGGUUCAAAUGGAACCUAAUGAGCUUAGAGAACAUGGAUUUAGCUCACAUUGAAGCUAUAAUCCAUAACCUCUCAUGGAUCCCAACCCUAGGGUUAGAUUUUGGGGAUUUUAAAAAUGUGAGGGAUUGAACUCUUUUGAGGGGUUAGAAACCUAAUUCUUAUGCUUAUAAACGCGUAGGCGAAGACGGUUCGUCGAUCCGACGAGUGGGCGCGAAGAUAUCGCUAUUCGAUGCGCUAAAGGGUUAAAGUUAACCCAACGAAAAUUAAGCGGCGACAAGACUAGCACGAGAACGCGUCUCGGAGUGUUUGCGGCAUCACCCAAGGUGGGGGAGUGCCAUCCCGAAGUCAUCGGGCCACCUUCUAUGUCUAAGUUUUAAUUGAUCUAUUUGCAUAUUGUGCAUAAUACAUAUAGGGUUAGAAAAUGAUUAUUGUUGCUUAUACUUGCAUACUAUUAGUUCAAUAAAUAUAUAUAUUGCUUGGUUGGUUUAUGAUCUAGUAUGCAUGAUGGUUGCUUGAUGAAAAUCUAGACCCUAUAUGAGAUGAUUAAUGCUUAUGUUGCUAAAGAACUAGUAUGAUGAAACUAGUGUUGAUAAUGAGUCAAAUUGACGAGUGGCAUCUAGUUUAGAAAACUAUGACAAGUGGCAUCUAGUUAGAAAAACUAUGAUGAAUGACAUUGUUGAUGUUUCCUUGAGAUGAUCACAUUAGUGUAGUUGAGACACUAUGAGAUUGGGUACAAGUAUACAUUGAUUCCAUGAUGAUAUUACCCUAAAAAAGGGUUGUUGCUGUUGCUCGUGAGAUGAUCUUGCUCACAUUGCCUGUCUGCGCUUGGUGGGGUCGCUCCCCUCAAGUUGUGCGCUCCGGAGUUUGGUCACUAGAGAGGCAGCCGUCCGGUUCGAGGGCGGCGGGCGGACCGCCGAACGGACAGCACCUCCCCUGUCCGCCCAAGGCUAAACAAUGAGAUCAUGUACAACAAGUCCCCAGGAAAUCAACUUGAAUACAUACAUGAUCAUGCAACAACAGCGAGAGCACAAACAGUGCUGAACAAUACGAGAGCAAGCGUCACAAGUAGAAGACAUACAAGUGAAACAAAAGAGAGAUACUUAACUAUUCUAUUACAACCAUUCAGCUCGAUACAUUUAAUUACAACUUGCAUUCUUUUCCAAACUAUGAAUAUAAGCUUACAUUCUUCAAAAGAUAAACAUUAGUUUACAUUUAUCUCAAAAUACCUCACAUCCUAUACAUCAUCUACUCUCAAUACAUGUAUAGGGUAACUCUAAUGCAANUGAAAUGGUAAUAUGAUAGAAUUACAUAGAAACUGAUUGAUACUCCUAGCUGAUUUGGGAUUGGUUGCUAGGGUACUUGGAGUGCAUCGGAUACUUGUACUUACAAGUUCAACUAGAGUCGUUGAUUAUUGGUGGGUUGGACCUUCCCAAAAUGGGUGAAUUCCCUCUAUGUCUCCUUUGACAUUAUGAGUGAACAUAUUACAUGCUUAUGUGAACCUAUGUGUAUUUGAAGGAUUUGAGACAUGCAUCCAUGUGCAUACCAUAUCGGAUAUAAUAGCAUCUCUAUGCAAUAGAGAAAGAAUUAUGAAAUGGCCUAUUUCCCAUAGAUCAAUUGCUCUAUUCUCAUGUAUCCAUGUUAUUAGUAGCUUAUACGAACAAGAUAAGCAUGAUAUUAUUCAAGAGGGAGGAAUUGUAAAACCAGGAGUAAUAUUUAGCCCUACUGAACAACAAGGAAAUGAUGUACUUGAGAUGAAAGCAUGCAAUUCUAUGUUGUAGACAUAGUGCUUGAACUCUUAGUCUAUCCUAUAUAAUGAGGUUAUUAAUACAUUCAGGUGGAAUCAUGCAAGAGUAUAUUGGACAUUGUUUUACUUACUUGUGUUGACUAGUAUACUAUUGUUUUCAACUGAUCAAAUUAGCAUGAACUUUGUGUUUUGGAAUAUGAUCUAAUUAAGUGAUCAGAACUUGGCAUGAUGAUAUAAUAUGAAUGUACCUGGUUAAAUAUAAUAUAGUGAAAUGACUAGAAUAACCAUCAUGUAUACUAGUAAGAUCAAACCAAAGUAUUUGCAUGUGACUUAUUUACUCCAAGUGGUGAAGGGUUAAGUGGAACUUUAGAAUAUGUGCCAUGAGUCAUUUAAACCUAGAAUGAGUCAUUGAAUAUGACCUUAGUAAACCACUUUCCUUAUGUAUAGGGAGUAGUGAGAGGACUCUAUAUGAAUAUGCAUAGGUAUAGCCCAUCAUGAUAUUAAGUUUAUAAUUAUUCAGGUUAUACCAGCUAUUGGUCAAAGUAUGUCAACAAGUAGUUGAUAGUGACGUGUGGUUUGGGUACUACAGUGUCGACCUUGCGUUGAAUUGAGAUUCCAUGUUAGAGACAUGAUGAACUUGUGAUACUUGUGCUAUGGAUUAUAGCUUGCAUGCCAUUAUGCUCUUUCGCGCACGCUUGUGGGGAUCACGCCCCCCAAGCCAGCACUUCGGAGUAGCUUAGCGACAGAUUGCUCACUUAUGUACGAAGUGAGCGCCGAAGUGGAUUGCCGUGGGUAGUGUUAACUUCCACGGGGCCAUUAGGCACGACGCGGCUAUGACCUCACCCUGUGUAAGUUUAUUGUGAAUUGGGCCAUGAUGAGCCACUUUAACCUUAGAUGAACAUAGUAGUAAGAAUACUUUAUGUCAUGGGUCGAGUAAACUUAAUGAUGAACAAGCUAGAAAGUUAGCAUCCUAAUUAGUUAGUAGCAUAGUGAUAGUAUGGUUACACUGUUACCAGUGUAAGUACUAUCUAUAUAACAUCAUCAGUUAGUUCAAUGAUAAUGAGAAUCAUUGCAUAUAGCCUAGCAUAUGGGUAUUCAAAUUGUCAACUAACAUGAAUGAUAAAACUUAGCAUGCUAAACUAGUAUUCAACCUGUUGAUUUAUAUUUAUAUAUUUUCUGAGCAAAUGUCAUGAUUGAUUUAUUUCAAUACUUGUUACAGUAUGGUUACACUGUUACCAGUGUAAGUACUAUCUAUAUAACAUCAUCAGUUAGUUCAAUGAUAAUAAGAAUCAUUGCUUAUAGCCUAGCAUAUGGGUAUUCAAAUUGUCAACUAACAUGAAUGAUAAAACUUAGCAUGCUAAACUAGUAUUCAACCUGUUGAUUUAUAUUUAUAUAUUUUCUGAGCAAAUGUCAUGAUUGAUUUAUUUCAAUACUUGUUACACUUGCUUAAUUAUUGCUAUUUACUCAUGCCACAGUUGACCUAGUGGUGUAUUUCGCCACUCUCGGUGGCUUACCUACUGGGAACUAUUAUUUAAUAGUUCUCACACCAUCUUUGUUGUUGCUUUUACAGAGCCUUCCACAGCGGGAAAGGCUAGGGUUUCUGGCGAGGGGUCAACGGCUAGCUAGGAUCAUCUUGACGUUAAAUAGACAAACCUUUACCAGUUUAUGUAGUUUAGUUCAGUGAUGUAUAUUGAGAUCAUGUAAAUUGUAUUUUGUUUUUAUCUGUUGUAAUAAGAAUUUGGGUUGUAUAAGUUUAAACUCUUAGUUGUGCUCCUAUUACUUAGUUAAGUUAAGAUUUUGUUGUGUUACAUUACUCUCUUUGUUGACACCUGGUGGACAUCAUGUAGUUUAGUGUACACGGCGGGUUUGUGCACGUUGCUGCAAGCUUCCGUUGAAGACCAGGGCGUGACAACAUGAGUCGAGUUUCGCAUAUGCUUACGGAGAUUUGAUACAUGAAACACAUUAUGAACUCCCGCAAGCCUUGGUGGUAAUGCUAACUUGUAUGCCACCGCGCCGACGCGUUCCAAUAUUUCGAACGGUCCAACAUACCGGGGACUUAGUUUCCCACGGACUCCAAACCGUUUUACUCCACGCAUUGGCGACACCUUCAAAAAAAGAUGCGGUCUCCAACCGCAAACUCAAGAUCUUUUCUAAGCUUGUCGGCAUAGCUUUUUUGCCGAGAUUGCGCCAUCGCAAGUCGCUGGUGGGCAAGGAGAACUUUCUCUUCCGCCUCCCGCACUACAUCGGGGCCAAGAGCAACUCUCUCGCCCACAUUGCUACAUGGCACACAAAGAACCCUUCUUUGCAUCUACCAUUCGCUACCGAGCACAUGAAGGACUUAUCCCUCUACAACUCUGCUGAAUACCUCUUUCUUCGAGAUCAGGACUACCCCUUAUCCUCGUGGUGUGGAUCUAACAAGAAUGCAUCAACUGGCCGAAUGGUCCACCACCACUACACAAUAUGUACGUGUAGACCUCCUCGAUCCACUCAAGUGUGCACAAAGUGGCACUCUACCACUUUGGCUAUCCAAGAGUAUGCAUCCCCAUUUAUGACUCUUCUUUGCAUUCAUUAUCCCUUCAGGGAACACACUCCGAUUCUAUCACCGGCAUUGCUUAGAAGUAAUAACCCGGGUGCAUCGCUCCAUCGCGAGUGCUCCAAUCACAAUCGGACUCUUAGCUCUGCCGCGAGAUGGUCCACUUUGGCACAUCUGUACAUUCCAGUUCAUUUAAGAGCAUAGUCCCCAAAUCUCACGUGGCUUUCUACUAGCUCAAUGUCUCACAAAGAGCACUUCAUCUUUUUGAUACCAUAUGCCACGGUCAACAUCAAUCGCUCUCACAACGAGUUCACACGAACACUCCGUUCAUGAAUCCAAGCCAAUCUCACCGACAGAGUUGUCGGCCAAACCGCGCACCUUGGCUUCCACAGGUGGACCAAAGGUCACCAAUCCUACGUAGGCUUACCACCUAAACCCAUCUCAACUACGCACAGCAUCUCUCGUUUGCAAGCGUAGACCCAAUCAUCACUGGGCGAAAUUCUCACUUGGGAAUUCGUACACACUCCAACUAGGAGCAAACGAGACCCCAAACCACUAUAUAAUCUUCGAGUUGGGUCAUAACCGAACUCUCGGUACACUAUUGAUCACACGAUUCACACGUGGCACUCCACGCUCUCGGGUCUCAGCUCGGACUACCGCCCCGACCAUAAAUCUCUGCCUUACACGUAGGUACCGGGCCGCUGUCACUCACAGCUGACUGCGCCUGUCCAUAUGGCCCCAGGCUCCACAGUCCACAAAUGGUCCAAGCACGGAUCGUUCUCAAGCCAUACCCGCUAACGUCGUCUCUCACGACAUGCUCUACCAAGCAACACACAUCUCUAUCGGCUCCUAAGCAUCCAAGGCGAGCCACCAUGUCACGCCCCGGAGCUGCCAAUUUGGUCGGUUCGGGCACGCGAACAGACGCCGAAGGGACAGCACCUCCCUUGUCCGCCCAAGGCUCCAACAACAUGUAUAAUACAAGCAAUUCAAUACAAAUUAACGCAAUUAUAUAAGGUUUGCACGGGGCAAACAACAACUAUGACAAGUGAAAGCAUCGAAACUAACUAAACGUUCAACAUACAAGUCAUUUGAUUUCAUUUGAAUCAAACACAAGUAAAUUUAAAAUAUUACAUUCAUAUUCUUUUUCAUUCACAUUUACAUCACAAAGGCAUUCAACCCAAAAUAUGUUAUUUACAUCUUUUUCUUACAACUUUUUUGUUCAACAUACAAAAGUUGAUUACUAAAACAUAGGGUAUGCUUAUAAACUCCGAGGCCACUAACUCUGGCGCCAAACCCUUGCCUCGAUCCUCCGCCGCCUCGCUCGCUCAUGGAUCUGCAGGGUUAGUAGUGGUGUAAGAACUACAACGAAGUUCCCAGUGGGUUCGGCCGCCGACCGCGCCGACUCGCCCACUAGGUCUAUGCAGGCAUGUGUAAUUCAAGGAAUGAUAGAUUGCAAACCAACUAAUGCAAAACUAUUACAAUGCUUGCAAGAAAACUGUCAACAGAUAGAUAAUCAAAUACAUGAUAAAUAUGCAUGCAUAUUCUUUUCCUCAUUCAUUUUGGCCUUUACCCAAUUAUCCCGGGAUUCUCCUGGUUCACCCCAAACUCACAGUCCAUUCAUCUCGUCUACUGGGGGAGGCACAUGGCACUACCGCCCAAGGAAUCUUCGCCGGGGUACUUCCCCGUGGUGUCUACACUCCGGAGUAUACCGCUUGAGGAGGAGCUACCUCCCUCAAGCCGGAACCAAUGUGUGAGUACGAUCCAAUCCUCAAUUUGAGGGCGUAGCCAAACCUGUCUCAAUGCACAAAGCCUCAAUGCCAAGGAUAGGUCAUUACCAUAUCACAUUCCCACUAUACCUGAGCCACAAUGGUCCUGAUGCCAUUAUAGGUUAAACCUUGUUUAGCCGUUCUUAUUUUCGGUGCCAAUAUCGUCACUAAUGUCAAUGUCACCAUUGUUUACUAUGGUCAUAGUCUCUUUUUCAUACAUUCACAUACACAUAGGGUUUUUCGCAUUCAUAGUUCACAUGGUUCUAUAUCAAUUCAUAUGUUCUCUAGCAUACAAUUGAAUCUCAACCAAUCAUAUUCAUCACACUACCCUAUAUGCAUGAAUGCUAAUAUCAAUAUGCUCAAUAAUGGUAACAUAAACAUAGAAAAAAAUUCGGUGUUUCCGGAUAGCACCCCCCACCUCUUGGUGAUGCUAAGAUGCUGUAAUCCAAUUUUCCAUAAUUUUUAGACCUCUAUGCCGCUUGCUAUGGCAAAAUAAAGUUGAAACGGGCAUUUUUCCUCGAUAUCUUCGCGUACGCUCGUCGUAUUGCCGAACCGAGCGCGCCAACGCAUUCGUUAACCUACCCCGAAACCACUACCAAUUUGGCACGAUUCGGCCGUGGCGGCGGAUUGCCAAACGGACAGCACCUCCCCUGCCCGCCCAAGGCUCCACAACAAGAAUGUGUACAAGAAUUUACCCAGGAGAUUACAUUCUAAACAUAUACAUUCACAAGGGCACAAAUAGUGCCGACAAUACAAAGAGCAAGAAUCCAUAAGAUAAAAUAUGUGAAAUAAAGAGAAUACUUUACUAACUAUUACAUUAGUUUCAUCAUUUUCAUUUACAUCAUUUUCAUCCAAAAUGAAUACAUUUCUUUCAUCUCAAAAUGCAUAGCUCUCCAAGUCCUCACCUAAAAUGAAUCUCUCUCAAUACAUAGGUGUACUAAUGCAAAAGGAAAAGCUACUAAACUACCACGGUCUCACUGAUCGGGCGCGAUGCCCUUGCCGCGGUCCUCCCUCGGCAGCCCUGUACCUACCAUUGAAAAUAGAGUGGGGUGAGAACUAUCUUCCAUAGUUCCCAGUGGGCUCGGCCGCCGACUCUGCCGAUCUCCCCAAUAGGUCCAAGUGGGCAUAAGUAACAACAGAUAGAUAGAUAGAUAUGUAUCUGAAAGCUGUAAAUGCGAUAGUAGGAAAACUAUGCUACUAUGCCCAUAAUCAUGAAUAUGAAUGCAUGCAUCAUAUAAUAAAGGUUUGCUACCAUGCUAACAAAUUCGAUCCAUGUUCGAAUAGCAAUGUUCAAUGACAUUAUUAAACCUUUAACCUUUCCAUUUACCCAAUCUGUGGCGAGGCCCUAGGGCUCGCCUAUAACUCACCCUUCAAUCCCAAAGUGGGGAGGGAGCUCCAUGUGCACCCAAGCCCGGGACCGUCUGCGGACCUCCAUGUGGUCCGGACCUCCAAGUGGUCCUAGUCGCUCAACACUCCAGAGUACUCGACGACAAUCCCCUCCAUGUGGGGAUUGGAUGGCUAUACUAUUCCAAACGCAGACUGUGAGCUAGAUCUAUCCUCUCCAAGUGAGGAUGCCCUACAUCUAGGGUCAACAACUCAAUCAAGUCCUCUCCAAGCGAGGAUGCUCUACAAUAGAGUCUAUACCCAAUCGAAUCCUCUCCAAGUGAGGGAGCACUAUCACUGGGGUCAACAACCCAAUCAAAAUCCUCUCCAAGUGAGGAAGCCCUACCACUAGGGUCAAAGUCUCAAUCGACUCAUCGACAACCUCUCCACGUGAGGCUACUUAGGUUUACUAAGUUCUUUAUCCAUAAGGCAUUUUCUAAGGGAUCCACCUAUCCCUAGGUUCUCAAACCUCUAGUGUUAUUUACACUACAUUAAUGCCACUCGUCAUCAUUUAAUGUUUGGAUGCCACUCGUUUGUUCUUUAACAUUAACACUACUUUCUAUGUCAUCAAUACCCCCAUCGGGUUCACCUCUUUUCUUUCGCAUUAUAGGAUCCACGUUCCGACCCAAUCCUCACCUAUCUAAGUCACCAAGCGUUCCAAGUACACUAGGUUAUCAUUUAGAAAGCAUAAAGAAUAGAGUUACUAUGCAAUCCUACAAUGCAACAUGAAGAGAUGAGGUUAAAUGCAAUCUAAGACAUAGAAAAGAGUCCGAAAGCUUCGGGAUGGCACCCCCCCACCUUUAAUCGAUGUAGAGACUUCGGAAAUCCUUCUCAGCGAACUUUAAGAUAAGGCUUUAGCCUUCCUUGCCCAAAUCAACACUAACCCGGCCCUAUUUUGUCGAGAACUUCAUGCCGGCUCACCGAAUACCAAAACCGACUUCGCCCCCACGUUUUGUGACCUAACAAUAGGGUUUCCAAGGCUUCAAAUGAGAUCAAUCUCAUCUUUUCACAAAAAUUCCCAUUUUGGAGCCCUAGGUUUGCACCUAUAGCAAACCAUCCAAUAAAUCCCUAAAUUUAUGGGAUUGAUUUACUUAGAAGCAUGCUUAGGGUCCAUUUGACCCAUUCCAAAGCAUAAAAACCCAAAACCCUAAUAUUCUAGAAGCUAGGGUUCAAGAGCCUACCUCUUGUGUUACACCAAAGAGAAGAGGAGAGGGAGAUGAAGGUGCCCAAAGCCUUCCUCUUGAUCUCCUUCUUCUUCUCCUUCUUGUUCUUCCUCUUCUUUUCCUUCCUCUCCUUCUUGUUCUUCUUCUUCUCCUUUCCUUUCUAGAGAGAGAGAGAGCAAGAGAGCAAUGAGAGAGAGAGAGAGGGAGAAAAUGAGAGUGUGAGGGAGAGAGAGGGCUCAGCCCACUCUAAUAAAGGCCAUUUUGCAUAAAAACCCCUCAACUUUCCAUCCACUGCACAGCCCUCACUGGGCAGAGUUUGCGCGGAGGGACCGGUCUCCCCGACUUAGGAUCGGUCCCCGAGGGCCUCCCUCGGGCGCACGCGUUCGGGAACCGGUCUCUCCCCGGGAGACCGAUCCUAGGGAGACCGGUCCUCGCCUAUGUCACGCCCCGGGACCGAUACCAAUUUGGCCCGACCCGAGCACGUCAAACAGACGCCGAACGGACAGAGUUUCCCCUGUCCGCCCAAGGCUCAUCACAUGUACAUUUUCAUCAAUAGAGAAAAGCACUAGCGGAAACAUACACAAACGGCUUACACGAGGGUAAGCAAUAGCCAUUAGUGAAAGAAAGGAAAACUAAACAUUCACAAGUACUAUGAUUCAUUUUGAUCAAAUACAUUGCAUCCAUUUACAUUCAUGAUUCUUUGUACUUCAUUACACGUGGCAUCAUUUCCUUCUUACAUCACAUUUACCUCAAAAUACAUAUUACAUUCUUUUCUUUACAUUACUAGUCAUUAUAUACAAAAGAUGAACAUAGGGUACUUUACUACAAAAUGAAAUCCAACUUUGGUGGCCUCUGACUAAGGCGCGAUACCUUUACCUCGGUCGCUCGCCGGCUCGCUCGGUCCCGGCUCUGUGGAAAUAGUGGGGUGAGAACUACAACAAAGUUCCCAGUGGGUUCAGCCUCAACAUCACCGACUUUCCCACUAGGACUAACUCAGGCAUAAUAGAAAGAAUAAGCUGUAUAGUAACCAAUCUAUAACAUGAUGCUAAUAUGCCUGAACAAUAAGCAAGAAGUAUGCUCAACAUCAAAUAAAUGCAGAUUAUGCAAACUCAUUCGUUCUUUGACUUUACUUUGUACUUUGUUCUUUAUUCUUUGCUCUUUGUUCUUUGUUCUUUAAUCUCAAGGCUAACCCGGAGGUUUCGCCACAUUAGCUUGCUUCACAUUAAGUCUAUCAUCGCAGGAACUCACCCGCUAGGACCGUCCUUUGGGUUUACUCCAACCCGUGAUGCAUAACUCCGGAGCGCAUCGCCCGAGGGGGAGCGACCGCCCUCGAGCACAGAACUCAUAGCAAGUAUGAUCAUAUCCUUAACUCAAAGGAUUAUAAGUUCAAUCUUGACUUUACACUAGCUCUAGUGUUCAUUACAUCACUUUAUGUUGCAAACUCAUGCAAUCACGUUCUUUACAUUAUCCUUUACUUUUGCUGACUCUAGCAAUUAUAUUCUUUACAUUCUUUACUUUUGGCUAUCUCUAGCAUUUCACGUUCUUUACUUCCCACAUUGCGUUAACUUUAAGCAUUGUCAUUUUCAGCAUUCUUUACAUUACAUUGGUUCUUUACCUCACACUAUCUCUAGUGUCAAUUCACAUUAGCUUUAUCGAAUGCCACUCGAUCUAUGUUAUUGUGUCACUCAGUUCUUUUGCUCACUUUGGGUGCUCACUUUCUCUCAUGCAUACAUAGGGUUUUGACAUUCAUUUGGUUCUCUACCAUCAUUAUAAGCAAGUUGCACUCACAAUCAUGCUAUCAUCACAUUCUUAUCAUUACUUCACCCUAAUAUGCAUGCAACAAUAUAUAUAACACAUGCUCAAAUGAAUGACACAUUNCGACCUUGUCUGCGAUCGACGUCGAGGUGCCAUUGCUUCCUGAAAAGAAGCAACUCACAUUAGUCACUUGACCAACAUUACUUGACCAUACCCAAUUAGGCGAAAGCAACAUGCACAUUCAUCCUUGCCUCAAGCGUCAUGUCGUCGGCCGCCUGACACAACACUAGAAGUAGAGGAUAAACGAAAAUUAAACUUAGCCUCUAAUCACAUUAGAGACGUUCCAACUUAACCCAAUCACAUGCUUUCGCUAACUUUGAUCCCACGUCACUCACGUUUCCUAGAUCCUUAAGGCCUUCCAAUCCUAUAGGUCUCUAGGUCCAUUCCUAUUCUUUCACUCUUGUCUCUGAUACCAACUUAUCUGUCACGCUCCGGGACCGAUACCAAUUUGGCCCGACCCGAGCACGUCAAACAGACGCCGAACGGACAGAGUUUCCCCUAUCCGCCCAAGGCUCAUCACAUGUACAAAAUUCAAACAAGAAUUGCACUAACGGAAACAUACACAAAAGGCUUACACGAGGGUAAGCAAUAGCCAUUAGUGAAAGAAAGGAAAACUAAACAUCUACACAAGUAAUAUGAUUCAUUUUAGAUCACAUACAUUGCAUCCAUUUCUUACAUUUAGGAUUCUUUGCAUUCGUUACAUCAUUGCAUCAUUUCUUUCGUACAUCACAUUUACCUCAAAAUGCACAUUACAUUCUUUUCUUUACAUCACUAAUCAUCAUGUACAAAAGAUGAACAUAGGGUACUUUACUACAAAAUAAAACCCAACUUUGGUGGCCUCUGACUAAGGCGCGAUACCUUUACCUCGGUCGCUCGCCGGCUCGCUUGGUCCCGGCCCUGUGGAAAUAGUGGGGUGAGAACUACAACAAAGUUUCCAGUGGAUUCGGCCUCAACAUCACCGACUUUCCCACUAGGACUAACUCAGGCAUAAUAGAAAGAAUAAGCUGUAUAGUAACCAAUCUAUAACACGAUGCUAAUAUGCCUGAACAAUAAGCAAGAAGUAUGCUCAACAUUAAAUAAAUGCAGAUUAUGCAAACUCAUUCGUUCUUUGACUUUACUUUGUACUUUGUUCUUUAUUCUUUGCUCUUUGUUCUUUGUUCUUUAAUCUCAAGGCUAACCCGGAGGUUUCGCCACAUUAGCUUGCUUCACAUUAAGUCCAUCAUCGCAGGAACUCACCCGCUAGGACCGUCCUUCGGGUUUACUCCAACCCGUGAUGCAUAACUCCGGAGCGCAUCGCCCGAGGGGGAGCGACCGCCCUCGAGCACGGAACUCAUAGCAAGUAUGAUCAUAUCCUUAACUCAAAGGAUUAUAAGUUCAAUCUUGACUUUACACUAACUCUAGUGUUCAUUACAUCACUUUAUGUUGCAAACUCAUGCAAUCACGUUCUUUACAUUGUCCUUUACUUUUGCUAACUCUAGCAACUCACGUUCUUUACUUCCCACAUUGCGUUAACUUUAAGCAUUGUCAUUUUCAGCAUUCUUUACAUUACAUUGGUUCUUUACCUCACACUAUCUCUAGUGUCAAUUCACAUUAGCUUUAUCGAAUGCCACUCGAUCUAUGUUAUUGUGUCACUCUGUUAUUUUGCUCACUUUGGGUGCUCACUUUCUCUCAUGCAUACAUAGGGUUUUGACAUUCAUUUGGUUCUCUACCAUCAUUAUGAGCAAGUUGCACUCACAAUCAUACUAUCAUCACAUUCUUAUCAUUACUUUACCCUAAUAUGCAUGCAACAAUGUAUAUAACACAUGCUCAAAUGAAUGACACAUUAGGCAUAGAGAGAAGUUCAAUGAGUUUGAGAAGCACCACCCACCUCGUAGGCUUUCAAAGGUGCUCCGACGAUUUUCUUGGGAUUUUUUAGAUGCUUCGUUCUUUACCUGCGACAAAACGAACCCUUAUUAGGCCAUUUUGCCCAUAUCUUUACUUUGGCUUUUCGUAACGUUAAUCCGAGCGCACCAACGCGUCGGAAAUACCCCCAAUUAGGUUUCUAGAGGGUUAAUUGCACUUAGAAACCCCCAUGAGCAAAAGCCCCAAUUUGGGUGCCCUAGCUCCAAUACACAUAUCAAACCUAGGGUUUGAUCUCAUUCGGAAGCAAAAGUAGCUUCAUUAUACUCUAAAUAGUCCAUUAGAACCAUUCUUAGCUCACUCCAAACCCUAGUUUGGAUUUCACCAUUAGAGGUGGGUUGAAGCUCACCUUGAGCUCAACCAUGGUUUUGAUCUUUAAAGAAGCAAAAAGAAAGCUUCAAAUACUCCAAAGGUUCCAUAAAAACCAUCUUCAUUCUAAUCCAAACCCUAGUUUGGAAUUAAACAUGAGAAGGGGCAAAGCUUACCUCUAGGCUUGCUCCUUUCUUGCUCUAGAGAGGAAGAAGAUGAAGCCUCUUUGCUCCUUGAUCUUCUUCUUCACUUUCUUCUCCGUCUUUUCCUUCUUUUCUUCCUUUCUUCUUCUUCUCCUUUGUCUUCUAGAGAGAGAGAGGAGAGAGUGUGGGAAGGUGUGGAAUGAGAGAAAAGCCCUCAUAUCCCCCAUACAUAACCAUUGGGCUGCAAAAAUGCAAAUAAACCCCUCAACUUUUAUCUCUGUGCACUGCCUGGACUGGGCAGUUUUCGCGGGCAGAGACCGGUCUCCCCGAGCAGGGACCGGUCCCCGAAGGUCCACCCUACGCAGCCAGAGCUUUCGCGCGCAAUGCAUCCGGUCCCUCCCGGGUGGGACCAGUCUCUGGGGGACCGGUCUCUCAGACAGAGACCGGUUCCCGAGAGCUGUCCUUCCAGGACUUAGCCGAUUUUUCGGCUGUCUCAUUCUGCACGCGUUCGGGGACCGGUCUCUCCCACCAGGGACCGGUCCCCGAGAGCUCAAAAUCUGCAGUUUUGCAGAAGUUGAUUCUUUAGCUCUCGAAAACCUCCCGUAACUCACUUUUGAUGACUUUAACACCUUCGGACUUUCCGAAGUGUACCAUCCUCGCACUUUGGUCAAUUUGACUAAAGUUCGAUAUUUAUUUUCCGAAUUUUCGGUAUAUUACAUGAACAACCCUAGGCUCAAACAUUAACCAUCAUAAGCAAAGGGGCAAAAACUCACCUAUAGAGUAAAAUUCCCUCUCAAGCUCUAAAAGAGAGCUAGAACCCCUCCAAUCCAACCAAGAGAAAUGUUCUAAACCAAGAGAUUUAGCUCAAAAAGACCUAAAUCCAAAAUGCCCAAAACAAACCCCAAGUUUCCAUUCUAGGGUUUCAUUUAGUUUAAAGCAUCAAAAUUAGAAUCUAGAGGAAAGAAACUUACUACUAACCUCUUAGAAGCUUCAAUCCAAGCUCAAAGUUUACAAGGUGUGGAGAUCUCCCUCCUCCCAAGCUCCCAACCCAAGGUCCAAGCUUCUCCCAAGGUGAAAUUUGCUCCAAAAAGGAAAAAGAGGAAUUAAACCAUAAUAAUCCAAGAAAAAGAAAAGAUAAAUACCAAAGAGAGGCAAGGAGAAGCUCCCCCUACCUUGUCUCCACAGAUCCCAGCUCAGGGGAGGCCCUAAGGGGCGUGGGGUAUGUAUAGAGUUGCUACAAAAGCAAAUACACCCCUCAAAAGCCGUCAAAUUGCAGUCUGGCAAAGUGUACCGGUACAUGAAAAAGUGUACCGGUACAAAUCUUGCGAAACGUCAAACCCGAGCCUCGGGUUAGAAAUUCGUCACAAGUGUACCGGUACAACCACCAAGGUGUACCGGUACAAAAUCUGUACCGCUACAACCAUCAAGGUGUACUGGUACACAGCCCUGCAGAAAGCAAUCCGAGAGCAGCCUAAGUCCAUCGCUUUGGUGACCUUAGCGCUACAUAAAGCACCACAAUUCUCGGGAUACGAGCCAUAGGUCGGAACACUGUCAACGACCCACCAGAAAAUCUGCAAAAACUCAGAAUACUGAUCAAACACUCGAACCUCGCGAUUUGUAAAUGUCCACUGUGUUACAUGAACAUAGAAGUCCUAAUAAGACUAUCAAAGCGAGUAUAAUAAAAUCACUAAAGUUCUAGCAUAAAGGGAUCCACCAAAAAGAUACAAGAAUAUACAACUAAAUUCAGAAUCUAUCAUAAAGCUCUAAACAAUUACAUAAUACAUCUUUUUCAAAGGUACAAAAAGAAAAGAUGACAUUGGAUCCAACUAAAAUAACUCCGUAGGACUCUAGCUAGCCGCCAACCACUUGUCUCGAUCCCUAGCCACUCCCAAUGCGGAUGGCUCUAAAAACAACCACAAAAUAGAGGGGCUGAGAACUAUCAAAAAUAGUUCCCAGUGGACAAUUACUGAUCUCAGCGAAAUGCUCCACUAGGCUGACGUAAGCACGCUAUAAGUGUUAAUUCAUAAGCAGAUAUGAAAGCAGGUAUUUAAACAAGUUUCUAUCAAAGUCAUGUUUCUACUAGAAGGAUUAAUAAAUUAUCAUGCAUAUAAAGUUCUAUUGUCAUUUGAUCAACUAUAUAUCAAUGUCGGUUUACAUGCAUAAUCAAUUAUAUGCUAAUGUUCUAUUAUAUGCACAUUCAACAAUAUGCCAAUACUAGUUUACAUGCAUGUCCAUGAUAUUCAUAAUGCUACAAUAAGUGACGAUACAUCUCAUUACUAUUCUAACCAUACAUUAUGCCAAUCAAUAUAAGUGUAACAUACUACCACUAGAGUGUCAAUGCUAACAAUGACUAACAUAAGGUCCACAUAUGCACUAUCAUGCGUGUCCACUAUUCCAAUUGAUAUACAUCAUCUAGUAGUAGUUUUCACAUUACACUUUAGGUUUCAUAGUUCAAUCCUCGUCAUGGAUCUACACGUGUGUAGUCGGGCUGGUGCCGUGCCAAAAAUAGUCCCGUAGCAGUCAACAUUCCCACUGUAGGAAUGAGCCUCCCCCACGGCAUCCCAUUUCGACGCCCAAUCCCGCACGGUCGAGCCUGUGUCGCGUAGGCUAUCUCCGGAGCGCCGGCUUGUGGGGAACGACCCUCACAAGCAUGUGCAAAUGAGCACAAAGGCAAGCAAGCGUGAUCAAUAGUAUCCAGCUCUCGGUAAUCAUGUUUAAAAUAUGGAAUAAGUGGCAACGACCCCAAAGGUCCCAUAUGUUAGAAAAUUGCGUAUGGUAAAACACAGCGGAAAAAGAAAUCAAACAAAUUUGAUUUUGAAAACUCUCGAGAUCCAAUCUCAAAAACCACGCAAUUUGGAUCCCUCAUGUUCUUUAAGAUUAAAGGAGAAAAGUAAGAUCGAAUCUUUAUCUUUUUCGCGGAUAGAUCUUGUCAAGCCCCGGGGCCCAGCGGGAGCCCGCCCGGCACGUGUCCAGACCCGCCAUAUGUCUAAAACAUAUAAGGCGUGUACGAUACAGCAAUAAAUAAAAUUAAAUAAUACAAAGAGAUCUAGUGAUAUCAGAGCAAGGUACUACUAGAAUCUACAACAGGAGAGUAUAAUAAGAGCUAAAAUCCACAAAAAUAAAUCAUGAAGUAGAACGACAGAAUUCCGAGUACAAAUGCUAUAAGUGGUACAAUGGUGGUCUCUAUACAUGGUAACAAAACUCUCUCUCUCACCAAAUACCCAAAAAGAGAGUAGACCACCUAGGAGUAAAGGCAGGCUCCGCACUAACUAGCUACGCGACUCCCUCGCCGUGAUCCCGUGCCUCCGCCGGUGCUGAAGGCUCUGAAAAAAAGUAUCAAACAGAGGGCAUGAGAACUAUUAAAUAAUAGUUCCCAGUGGGCAAUUACUGACUUCAGUGAAAUGCACCACUAGGCCCAAAACUAANCCCUCCUUCCUCUCCUUCUCCUUCUUCCUCUUCUUCUCUAUCAAGGGUGUAGAGAGGGUUGAGAGAAGCGAAAUGGGGAGAAGAGAGGGUGGAGGGGUCAUAUAGACCCUCUAAUGUAACAAAAUCCCAAGAGACCCCUCAAAAAUCCAAUAUUGGAUCAGCCCGGUCUGGACAGUUUUCGCCCAGAGGGACCGGUCUCUCCCCAGCAGGGACCGGUCUCUCGCUGCGAACCCGAAAAACCAACGUUCGGGAACCGGUCUCUCCCUGCGCGGGACCGGUCUCUCUCUCUGCGAAGGCGCGCUCGGGGACCAGUCUCGCCCGCCAGGGACCGGUUGCCUCAGGGCUGCCGCAACACUGCUGAUUGGGGGACCGGUCUCUCCUUCCAGGGACCGGUCCCCGAGAGUGAAAACUCUCAGGACCAAACCAAAACUCAGGUUUUCGAACUUUUUAGGUCGGAAAACAUUCUACAACCCUCCACCAAGUGUGGAAAAGCUCGAAAUACACCCAAACACUCGAACCUCGCAAUUUGCAAAGGUCAAGUGCGUCACAGCAACAUCAUCCUCGUGAUGUCCCCACCUAGCACCACUAUCCGUUGGAGGUACGACCUCAACUCCAAUAUCAAACAGUACUACUGUAACAUACCACAUCCCUCGUAAAUCGUGCCGAGUUUCGUCGAAACGAGCGGAACGCGGAGUGGGUCGAGUGGUUAUAGGCCCUAAGUGCGUUGGAGCCUAUAUAUAUGGUGCAAAGGGACCCGAGAGAGUGAGAUUUCAAAAUCUGGCUAAGUCUCAGAUUUUGUGCUCCUGGGGACCGGUCCCUGAAGGAGAGACUGGUCCCCGUACGCGUAGCCUGCUAGGAAAUCUUGAGGCAUCCGGUCCCUGGUGGUGAGACCGGUCCUCGGGAGACCGGUCCCUGAGGGAAAGACCGGUCCCUCGUUGCGCAGCAGCUGAAAAAGCCCGAAAAUCGGCUAAGUCCUGGAACCCCUCGGGCAAAUCGGCUAAGUACUGAACCCCUCGGGCAGUCCGACUGGAUGUGGCCCUCUUGACCACACAAGUAACACUUGCCCUGCCUCUAAGAGCACUGUCGUGGGUAAUGACGACUACCGCAGAUCACGCAACUCAGAGUCUGGCGAUGCUCAGAUCCUCCACGCUGUGCAGAUGAGCCACAUCCUCGCGAUUGGCUCCUGUUCCUGGCAUAUCUCGGCGGCCUCCCAGAGUGCGUCUGACUCGCACCCUCAGCCGCAAGCCUCUUGCCUUUCCUUUGUCCGAGCCUCCUCGAUGCUCCUGCAAGUCCACCGCGCCGCUCUUCAUGAUGAGCGCACGGUUCACCACAUCUCAGUAAGUCUGAAGAUUGGAGGAUUACACCAACCGAAAGAUUAACGACUAAAGUCCUCCCUCGAAGAUGCGAGCCUUAUUCUCGUCGUCCUGCACAACAAAGGGCACAUAGUGUAGUAGCCGAGAAAACUCCCUCUCGCACUCGGCCACGGUUCGAUCUCCUUGGUGCACCUCGCACAGAUCCUGCUCCAUCUUCUCUUAACACUAACGGAAAAGUAGUGCUCCAAUAAGAGUUCCUUGAACCUCUUCCAAGAAAUGGCUGCUAGGUCAGUGUUGGGAUUAUCUUGGAUUCCCAACCACCAGCUAUAGGCCUCGCCGUCCAAAUGGUGAGUAGCGAGCCCAAACUCUGUCUCUCUUCUCCAUGAAAGUGUCGCGGAACAACUUCUCCAUGUGCAUAAGCCACUUUUCAACGAUCCAGUGGUCGGCUUUCGCUCUAUUAAAGAUCCUGGGAUCGCACCUCCUGAACUCGUUGAGGCGAUCUAUGAGCCGCUGCCGCUCCGCUUCCUCAACCAUCAAGGGGAAAACCGCCGCUGCUAUAGGCACCUGAGCUGGUGGUGCCGCAAAUACCUCCUCCCGAGGUGCUACCGCAGGUGCCGUCCGCGAAGUGUCGAGUGCAGGGGACGACCUCCUGGGUGCAACCCCCUCUACCAGCGCGGGUGGUACAGGGACCUAAGCCUCCCUGGCAGCCGCUUGCUGUAGUAGAAGAUUCUUCAGGCGCUGCAUCCGUGCCUCCUGUCGGCGCGCCGCAUCUGCAUGCUGUCGAGCCCCCGCCCCGCCUGCUGCGUCACCAAGUCAGUGAGGGCCGCAAUGUCACGCCCCGGGACCGGUAGAGGCCUUCCCGGUGGCGUGCCCAGACCCGCCAUAUGUCUACACAUAUAAGGCGUCUACAAUAAAAGCGGAAGUAAAAGCAAGAAAUAGAACAAAUAGAAUAAAUAGCAACUAAUGAUAUCAGAGCGAGUAAAGUUCUAUCAUCUAAACCAGAGUAAAAGAAACAUAACUAGACAAUAAAAGUAGCCAUAAGGUGGUACAGUAUCUGUCCCAAAGGUACACAAAAAGGGUAGUCUCUAGUACACUGGUACAGCUCUCAACCUCUCCAAAAUAAAAAUAUCGAGAGGUAGACCACCUAGCUACUCGUCUCUCGCAGAAGAGCUAGCUCGAAGCCACGCCCUUCCCUCGGUCCCUAGCCUCUCCCGGCAGGGAAGGCUCUGAAAGAAAACAUAAAACAGAGGGCGUGAGAACUAUAUUUUAUAGUUCCCAGUGGGCAAUUACUGACCUCAGCUCAAUGCACCACUAGGCCCCAAAGGAAAAGGGUAAGUAACAACAAUAAUGAUAAAAAUAAAGAGCGAGUAUAAGAACUGCUGAAAGAAAGCAUAAAUGAAAUGCUAUACUACCAUGUCCCAAGUAAGCAUGAUGUCAUGGUGAUGUACAUCUACGCUAUCACAAGAUAAUAUGUCCAAUGCAUACUAAUAGGCCAUAACAUAAUAAACAAGUAAACCUCACGAUGCAAUAUGUCAAUGCAAAAGGAGUAAGCUCUAUCAAAGCAACCCAGUAUGCUAAGAUGCGAUGAAUGAAACAGGCAAGUAUACUAUAUAUCCCAAUGCUAGGUCAUGAGCAUGUCAAGUAAUCCAACUACUAAGCCUAUCUAGUAGUGAUUAGUCAAUCUCAACACUGUGUCGAUUUCCAUUUCCAAUUAAGGACCUACCAAAGGUACUCCAGCUUGUGCCGCCUAAGUGCCUGUGGUAGCCCAACAUCCUUACUCUUGGAAUGUGUUUGUCCCACUCGACCCCGUAGGCUUCUCAAUACCGCACGAGCGAGCAUAAGUCGCGUAGGCUAUCUCCGGAGUGCCGGCUUGUGGGGAGCGACCCUCAUAAGCAUGUGCGAAAGAGCACAAAUGGCAAGCAAGCAUAGUCCAAGUCUCAAGCAUCCAAUCCUCAUGUCUCUAACAUGGUAUCGUCACUAGCAUCCCGAAGAUCUAGUUUACGUCACAAGGCGAGGUUCCAAACACUCACAACGCCUAGUGCCCCUUGAUGACACUUAGGCAAUUUAAUGUUCAACAUAAGCCAAAUCCCGCAAUGGCUCUAACCAGUAGGUUCACACAUGUCCCGAGCUCAAUGCCGCUUAAUGACAUUAGCUCUCUAAUUCACAUACAUUCUAGUUCAAUACCUCUAUAUGGCAAUUUUGUCACCUUUCAUGUCACAAAUAAACUUAAGUUUAAAUGCAUGUGCCAAUUCUCCUUUACACUAUAGAAGCAUGAAACCAAGUCUCAUAUAGAAUGCUAAAUGCAACCAUAGAUCUCUCAAGCAACUCUCUACUACAUAGAGGUCCAAAAUUUCACCACAUGCAACAUAGGCAUUUUAACCCUUCUAAAAAUCAUAAUAAAUGCAUCUAGCAUGGAAAUGCAUGCAUAAACAUUUAACAGUACUCAAAUCAACACAAAUGAGAUUUUCUCAUUGUGUGGCUAGGCCAAACCCACCGAUCCGUCGCGUAGGGCCUCGUUUCGCCGAACGGAGUUGUCCACGAGUCUCAAAAUACCCUAAAAGUAUUGAGCGAAGAGAUACACGGGCAUUACGAUCAACUAUAAGAUCAAACAUUAACCUAGAAGCAAAAGGGCCAAAACUCACCUCAAGAGUAGAAAUCCUCUCCUAAGCUCCAAAGGAGAGCUAGAAUCCUUCCAAUCCAAGCCCAAGGAAGGUUCUAAUUCAAGAAAUUUAGCCUCAAAAGCCCUAGAUCAAAAAGCCCCAAAAAUCAACCCUAAUAUACAUUCUAGGGUUCCAUAUGGUAAAACCUACCAAAUCAAGGAUCAAAGGGUAGAAUCCAAGUAGUAACCUCCCAAGAUGCCUCCAAACAAGCUCCAAAUCUUCUAGGGUUGAAGAUUGGUCCACCACCAAGCUCUACAAGCAAGCUCCAAGCCUUGCAAAGGUGGAAAGGGGGAAAAGGGUUGAGCUCCAAGCUCCCUCAACCAAGCUCCUCUUCUUCUUCUCCUCUUUCUUCUUCUUCUCUCUCUAGAAGGUGUAGGGAGUGGGUGAGAAUGAGGGAAUGAGAGAGGGAUGAGAGAGAAAUGGCUAAUAAGCCCAUCUAGUGUAACAAAUCCAGUGAGGCCCCUCAAAAAUCCAAUAUUGCAACAGCCUGGUCUGGGCAGUUUUCGCCUAGAGGGACCGGUCUCUCCCCAGCAGGGACCGGUCUCUCGCUGCGAACCCGAAAAACCAACGUUCGGAAACCGGUAUCUCCCUGCGCGGGAUCGGUUGCCUCGCCGGCUGCGCAGCACUGUUCACUGGGGGACCGGUCUCUCCUUUCAGGGAUCGGUCCCCGAGAGUGAAAACUCUCAGGACUCGCCCAAAACUGGGGUUUUCGAACUUUUUAGGUCGGAAAACAUUCUACGACCCUCCACCAAGUGUGGAAAAGCUCGAACCACAACCAAGAACUCGAACCUCGCAAUUUGCAAAGGGCCAGUGUGUUACACGCAAGCUGGCUCCUCAACUCACGGACCUCGCCGGAUCCGAAGGUAGCGGAUGUCUCCGCUUCCUCAAGGUUUGCAACGUCAUCCGCUCCAACAGACUUAGAGCGUGUAGUUGGCAGCGAUAUUACAACGUCAUAAAAGCACGAGUUAACAAAACCCACGCUAUCGAAUCCCCGCUCAAAACGAAUACCCAAAUCAUGCGAAAGUAAGGAAGUGUUAUCCACAACUAACUCCCGAUGUUACGUUGUCGGCCUCCAACGUAACCCUCCGCGAAGUUAGAAGUCAUACACUCCGAUCCAACUCCAACUUUUUAGAGUUAUCGUAAAACCCAAUUGAAAUACUUUCGCUUACAAGUCAAAUAGACCUCGUCUCUCAUGAGCCUAUUUUCUAUAGUCCAAUCGGCCUAAGAUUCACUAGGUCCACUAAGACUCAACCCUAGGCUCUGAUACCAAAAUAAUAUGUCACUCCACGGGGCCGAGCGGGAGCCCGCCCGGCACGUGUCCAGACCCGCCAUAUGUCUAAAAUAUAUAAGGCGUCUACGAUACAAAAAUAAAUAACAUUAAAUAAUACAAAGAGAUCUAGCGAUAUAAGAGCAAGUUACUACUAUAAUCUACAACAGGAGAGUAUAACAAGAGCUAAAAUCCACAAAAUAAAUCAUGAAGUAGAACGACAGAAUUCUGAGUACAAAUGCUAUAAGUGGUACAAUGGCGGUCUCUAUACAUGGUAACAAAACUCUCUCUCUCACCAAAAAUACAAAAAGAGAGUAGACCACCUAGGAGUAAAGGCAGGCUCCGCACUAACUAGCUAUGCGACUCCCUCGCCGCGAUCCCGUGCCUUCGCCGGUGCUGAAGGCUCUGAAAAGAAAGUAUCAAACAGAGGGCGUGAGAACUAUUAAAUAAUAGUUCCCAGUGGGCAAUUACUGAUUUCAGUGAAAUGCACCACUAGGCCCAAAACUAAGCAAGGGAGGUAAGAAUAAUAUGAAUAAAUAAAUCACAGAAAUAAAAGCUCACUAUAGCAUGAUGUCACUACUUUCAUCAGUAAUAAUCUACCACAUGAUCUCUACUUAGCAUGAAUUUGCAUAAGUAAUAAACUACCACAUGAUCUCUACUUAGUAUGAAUUUGCAUAAGUAAUAAGCCACCACACGAUCUCUACUUAGCAUGAAUUUGCAUAAGUAAUAAGCUACCAUGGCAUAAUUGCACAAGUAUAAGCCUAUCACAAUAAUCACAAGCUAGAAUGGUAAUGUGUCAUUAUCCACUAUUCUAGUCAAUGUCCAAAAGGUACAAUAUGUCGCCAGUAACCCAAUCAUGUGGAAGCUACCCGUAGGCAGUCCGGCCUACGCCGUGCAAACAAUGGCCCCGUCGUAGUCAACAUCCCCACUCCAGAAAUGAGCCUCCCCCACGGCAUCCUAUUUUGGCGCCCAAUCACGCACGGGCGAGCAUGUAUCGCGCUGGCUAUCUCCGAAGUGCCGACUUGUAGGGAGCGACCCUUAUAAGUAUGUGCGAAUGAGCAGAAUGACAUGCAAUCGAAUAAGUCCGUCUCAGGUCCCAGUGGUUCUGUAAUCUUAGCAUGAAUUUGCAUAAGUAAUAAGCUACCACAUGAUCUCUACUUAGCAUGAUUUUGCAUAAGUAAUAAGCUACCAUUGCAUAAUUGCACAAGUAUAAGCCCAUCACAAUAAUCACAAGCUAGAAUGGUAAUGUGUCAUUAUCCACUAUUCUAGUCAAUGUCCAAAAGGUACAAUAUGUCACCAGUAACCCAAUCCUGUGGAAGCUACCUGUAGGUAGUCCGGCCUGCACCGUGCCAACAAUGGCCCCGUGGUAGUCAACAUCCCCACUCUAGGAAUGAGCCUCCCCCACGGCAUCCCAUUUUGGCACCCAAUCCCGCACGGGCGAGCAUGUGUAGCGAUGGCUAUCUCCGGAGUGCCGACUUGUAGGGAGUGACCCUCACAAGUAUGUGCGAAUGAGCACAAUGGCAUGCAAGCGAAUAAGUCCGUCUCAGGUCCCAGUGAUUUAUCACUGUUUCAUCGGAUCUAAAACCCGGAAUACAGCACACAUCCCAAAGGCCUGCCUCUAUGUCAUCGCGUCUAAAACACGGAAUAUAGUAAUUGUCUCAAUGGCGUAUCUCUAUGUCAUCAUGUCUAAAACAUGGAAUAUAGUAACUGUCUCAAUGGCCUAUCUCUAUGUCAUCAUGUCUAAAAUAUAGAAUUUAGUAGAUUUCCAAUGGCCUAUCAUCAUGUCUCUAAGUUGUAGUUCAAUAAUUUUCUAGUUCAAGUGCCCCUUUAUGACACUUUUGCUUACUAUGUCCCAAUAUGAAUAAUAAGUCUAAAAGCUUGUCAUUUUAAUCAUUUUUCACACAAGAAACAUGAUCUUACAUCAUUCAUUAGAACAUUAAACUCAUGCAUACUAACAAUGCAUAUGCUUCUCUCUACAAUAUAGAGUCAGUUUUUCAUGAUGCAUAACAUAGGCGUCUUAAGCGUUCUAAAGUUCACAUAAGUUUCAUUUAACAUGAAUAUGCAUGUAUUUAUAGAAUACGAAAACAUUCAACCACAUAGGAGGCAUUUCCUCCCAUUUCAAUGAAGUCAAACCCACCAAGUCCUCUUGAAGCCCAUCGUUUCGCCGAAGGGAGGUGCCCACUAUCCUCCUAGCUCCCUAUAGGUAAAACUAGGGGAGUUACACGAACGAAACGAACUACAACAAGCUAAAACAAUAACAAACUCAAGAUAAGGGCGUAACUCACCUAUAGUGAAGCAAACCCUUCCGAAGCUCCAAAUGGGAGCUAGAACCCUUCCAAUCCAACCUAGAGGAUGAUUCUAAACCAAUCAAUUGAGCUCCAAAAGCCCUAGAUCAAAAAUCCCCAAAUCAAGCCCUAAAUCUUCAUUUCUAGGGUUUCAUCACAAAGAGACCAAUAAAACAUGAGUCAAAAGGGGAGAACAAGUUUCUAACCUCUUGAAAAGCUUCAACCCAAGCUGAAAGUCCUCUAGGUUCAAGGAUUUUUCCUCAAACAAGCCUAAAGUCCAAGCUCCAAGCUUCAACAAUGGUGGAAAUUGCUCCAAAAUGCAAAAAGAGAAGUAAAUCCACCAAAAUCCAAACUAAAAGGAGAUCAAAACCAAAGAAAUGGUAAAGAGGGCUCCCUUACCUCCUUCUCCUCCUUCCUCAGCUCAGGGAAAGCCCCAAGGGGCGUGGGUGAUAUAUGGAAUAUCUACAAUUGUAAAAACACCCCUGCAGUUCGACCAUUCAAAAUCUGUCACUGCGUACCAGUAUACGGGCCUCGGGUUUGACAGAUGCCAAACCCGAGCCUCGGGUUGGCUGGGAAGCUGCCUGUGUACCGGUACACGAGCCCGUACCGGUACAACCAUCAACCCUGUACCGGUACAGCCAUCAACCCUGUAUCGGUACGUAGUCUGCUGAAGGCUAUCCGAGAGCACACUAAUAAUCCAACUUUUUGGGUUUUGGUGCCAAGUUUUAAACCUCAAUUCUCGGGACUCGAACCAUAGGUCGGAACACUGUCUACGACCCUCCACAAAGUGUGGAACAGCUCGGAACACAAAUCAAACACUUGAGCCUCGCAAUUUGCAAAGGUCCAGUGUGUUACAGAUCUUCACCUCAAUUUGAUAAUCGUGGAAUUCGGUUCUCUUGAAGCCGCACACGCGUCCGGCCACUAUAGGUAUCCACACGAGGUUCUUGAUUUGAUCGAUGUCCUCACCGGGGUGCUAGCUCCCUUGCAAAGGACGUCUUUCUUGUUAGAAUAUGGAAGAGAGAAUAAGAGAGAUGACGGCUGGGGUUUUCUAAAAACUCUCGUAUAUUAUAUAUAGGAAUAUAAUCCUAUUCCUAAUAAUAUAAUGACAAUUAAGGAUAAGUAUAAAUCUAGAUUUAAAUUUAUCUUUUCCUUAAUUGGUUAGAUCGAUCAAAUUCUAAUUUGAUUCGACUUGAAUUUUAUAUUAAUUUGAUCUUAUCAAAUUAAUAAUGCAACAUUUGCACACAAGUCCUCUUAUAAUUUACUAACUAUUAGUAAGUCCUCUUUUGUAACAUUUACACUUUAAUACCACUAAUUUGUAACAAUUACAAAUUAGUCCAAUUAUCAACAUAUUGACAAUUAGGUCCUCCUGCGAUUCAAUAAUCGCGAUCUAGCAUCCGAUCAAUCACAACCUCUUAUGUGUGUGACCCUAUAAGUUCUAUUCUAUCUGGUAGUGAGAUAUAUUUUGAUCACUAUCAACAAUAUCACGGAAACUCCUUUCAGUAAAUCAGAACAAUUCCAACUCUGCCCAAUGAGAAUUAUCGAUCAUAUAGAUAAUUCUCAUGAGUCUCACAAUCCACCAGUGACGCCUAGCAGCAUGUAGUGGCAUUCCAGUAUAAUGGAAUACUGAACCUCUUGGUGCAAUUACCGUGUGAUACAAUCCUUCUAUCAUGAGUCCCGACAAGACGGAGGUUAUGGAAUAACUCGUCAAAGCCCAUCGCCUGUCAUAUAUUAAAUUUAUUCGACUCGAGUUUCUAAUAUCGGAAACCUUUUUUCGCUAUUAACUCUGCCCUGGCCAAGGUCUUCUGAACUCGGUCUCAUAAAUCACAUCGGACUAACACCCCUAUCUACCAAGUGAGAUAGAUUUUAUCUAAGUGUCACCCUAUUCCUACAAUAAACCUACUGUAGCCAACAUGCAUCGCAAGGACCCGAAUGGCUAGGGACCAAGUGUAUGUACAAUCAAACUACAGUAAUCUCAUUGUGAAUAGCCGAGGCACCGCAGGUCAAAGUACCAGUCACACUACUGCAACAUUGAGUAAGUCACUGACGAGUGAGAAGACAUCCAAGUGACUUCUCGUGAUGGUCACGCUCGGUACCCUUGUUCUCUAACAACCACCUGCAUAUUCGCUUCAGUGUCCCUACACUAUCGACUCGAGACCCGUCUACCCAAAAGAAAAGCGACCUAUGCACCAAUCUCACCGGAUCAAUCACCGCCCCCGUGAUGAUCCAUUGAUUGGGAGUAUUUAGGAAUUAACCACCAAUAACACAUGUCUCAAAUUCUCAACUCUUGAGAAUAUAUGUCAUCAUCUUAUUAAUUCCUUGGACGAUUCACGGACACAUACACAACAUGAAUAGAAAUAAAAAUUCAAAUUUAUUUAUAAUAUUUUAAAGUCAAAUACAAAUUUAUGUCCUAGAAAGAAUACAUGUGUCAACCUGGUUGACUUCUAGGGCAUACAUCUAACAAUCUCCCACUUGUACUAAAGCCAAUCAGCCAUAUACUGUAAUAUACUGAACUUCUAAAAUAUUGAAGUUACGGUGUACAUUUGGUUGAAAAGCCAUUUGAAUGGUCCCGGUGAAGUUCGGUGAAGUUCUGGAGCAAUCGGGCGUUUCGAUGCGCGUAGGUGCGAAAACGGAACCCGAAAGGUUAUGUUGGACCAUGAGCUAAAUCCAGCAUUAACGUGGAUGAAACGAUGAUGAAAAUACGCUCGAAAACAUGUUUGGAGAGUCUCGGUUCGAUUUGAAACGAAUCGGAUGUCAAACGAGCGAAAACGAGCGAAAACGGUGAAAAAAAGUUGAAAAUUUGGCUAAGUCCUAAAUGCUGGAAUUCUGGACCCUACGGGGACCGGUCCCUCAAGUCCAAGGACCGGUCCCUGAGCCCGAAAAAUGCCCAGAAUGAGCAGUGGCAGUUUGGUAAUUAGGGGAAAGUUGGCAUAUAUGAAGGGCUUUGCCCCUACUCCUUCUUCCUCCUCAUUCCAACACACACACACACAUAUACUGGUAGAGAGAGAUGCUCUCUCCUCUCUCUCUAGGAGCUCUCCCUCUCUCUCUAAGAGUGGAUUUAGGAGAAGAAGGUCGAGAUUGGAGCUUGGAGAAGGACCAACAUCAUCUUCUUCAUCUUCUUGCUAGCUAGUUGAGGUAAGCUCUUUGAGUCUCUCAUGGUAAAUGGCUAGAGCAUGGCUUAGACCUCUUUGAACUUAGCUAGAUGAUGUUUAUUGGUGCUCUAAGAGUAGUUGAUCUCAUUUAUUGUGAGAUUAGUAGCUUGUAUGAAGCUAAUUGCAACAAUGGUGAUUUAGGGCUCCAAAAAGAGGGCUUUUGCUUGUGAGGGGUUUUGAUCUCAAUUGACCCUAUACAAACCUAAUUGGGGGUAUGACGAACGCGUUGGUGCACUCGGUUCGACAAUCUGACCAGUGUACGAGAAGUUAUUGACGAAACAGUCUGUUUUGGUACAGAGAGUCGCAGCACGCGGGAUAAGCCUCCAAAAAUCAUGAAAAUGGAUCGAGAGCAUUGUGGCGUCGGGGAAUAAACUCCCGAACAGACGGAUCACGGAUUGGUGGCCGUUCGGGUGGUCGCACAAAAGUUCGGGCCAAACCGGGUCACCGGUGCCGCGGGAGACCGAUUGCAAGUGACUACAAGCAAUUGGAACGCGGUAAAAGGUGUGUUGUGCUUACCGAAGCGACUAGGUCGCCUUCAUGCCAAAGUAUAAUGUAUUUCACUUUUGAUGCAUGGUGGUGAUAAGAAUGCUAUAUAAGAAUGCAUGAUAAGAAUGCUAUGUAAGAAUGCAUGAUAAGAAUGCUAUGUAAGAAUGCAUGAUAAGACUGCUAAGAAAUGAAUGCAUGUGAUAGAUGUUAAGUAAUGCAUGUAAUAUGUGCCAAGUAACGAAUCAUAUGAGAUGUAUGCUAAAGAAUGCAUGUUGACAUAUUAUAGAAAUGCUAGAUGAAGCAUGUGUUAAAUGUUAAAGGCAUGUAUGAGAUGUAUGUUAAAUAAACAUAUGAGCUAGAUGAUGUAUAAAUGCAUGAUUUCAUAAUGUAAGAAUAUGUUAGAAUGAUAUGAGGGUUGAACUUGAGUCAAUGAACACUAAGUAAAGUAAAGAACUCGACAAGUGUCAUAUGUAAAGAAUCCUAAGUAUAAAUAACUAGGAUGACGAGUGGCAUUGAACCUAGUGUCAUUGAACAUAGGUUAUUCACGAGUGGCAUGUCAAGUAUGGUUCCUAGGUGUGGACAACUAGGAUAACAAGAACAUGAGUGGCAUUAAACCUAGAGUCAAGUAAACCUAGGUUGUGAAUGUAGUGACAUGAAACCUAGAGUCAAGUGAACCUAGGUGAUUAAGAAUAUUGAACCUAGUGUUAAUGAACCUAGGCUAAGAAGGUAAUGACAUUGAACCUAAUGUAUUAACUUAGGUUGAGUAAAGGCUUGGACCUAGAUAGGUCGAUAACAUAGGGUGAGACCAACCCUCGAGUAAUGUGAAGUGGAUUCCGGAAUCCCUGCUGCUAGUGCAGCGGCUGCUAGUGCAGCAUACAAGCUCGAUAGUUCUUGGCCGCGGGUGCAUGUGGCAUGUUCCUCUCCCACCGGAAGAACUUCGAGGCUUGUUAAUGAGCAAGAACAAUGAGCGCUAGGGUGCAUGUGGCAUGUUCCUCUCCCUAUCGGGGAUCUCGGCUGCGGGUGUAUGCGGCAUGUUCCUCUCCCAUCGGGGGAUCCCUGACCACGGGUAUACGCAGCUCUGGGCGACCCGUUGGGCGAUGUGGUUUGUGGAUUGAUGGCUGAGGUGCAUGUGAUAGUCCCUUCAUCUCGAGCCUGACAGAGCGCGGAUUAUCCGCAUAUGAUUGACUCAAGACCGAGUCGGGCGGCAAAGUUGGCUAAGGUAAAGAAACUUUAGGAAAGAAUGGCAAUGUGUAUAAUAUGGCUAAGGUGUGAGUACCCUUAGAAUAAAGAAUAAAUAAAAAAAAAGGGCUAACGCUAAAGAAUGGCAAGUAAUAAAGAAUAAAGAAAGACAAAUGCUAAAGAAUAGCUAGUAAAAUAAAGAAUGACUAAAAGUAAAGAAUGGAUAAGAAUAAAGUGUAAAAGCAAUUAAUCUACUAUAUGAGUUGCAUAAUUUACAUAUUGCAUGUUGUGAGGCAAAAGCAUGGUAAUGUUAGUUGCAUGAUUUACGAUUUCAUAUCUAUCUAUUGGACUAACAUGUUGUCUGCCUCCUUUGGACCUGACGGUCGAGCUCUUCCCUUGGGUGGCCGUACCCACUGGGAACCAUGGAGUUGGUUCUCACCCCACGUUGUUUUGGGGUGUUACAGGUUCACACGUGAGCGGCGUGGCGGCGCGAGGCAAAGGCGUAGCUCCGUAGUUAGCGCCCUAGCACUGAGACCAGAUAGCAGCACCCUGAGUCGACUUCUUAGGGGUAUAAAUUGCAAAGAACCAAGAGUAUGAUGAUUGUAAGAACAAUGUUGUAAUGACUAUAUUAAAACUAAAUUAUAUUUGGAAGUAAGAAUCAAGGAAUCAAAUAUGAUGUAAUCUAAGAAUGCAAAAUGUAAUAUGUGAGAUGAAUGCUUGUAAUAGCAAGUAGAUUUAUGUUUUUGAUACUUCCUUAUGCAAUCCUUGGUUGAAAUGUGUUCCUGGUUGGAACUUCGUAUAUUGUAUUGAUUGCGACGCCUUGAAUGUACAGGGGAGACUCUGUCCGCGGUACAGGGAAAAUCCUGUCCGUUCGGCGGUCUGUUGGCGUGUCCGAAACGGACCAAAUAGUCGGGCUCGGGGCGUGACAGAUAAGAUGGUAUCAGAGCAUAAAAAGAACAUAGAAAGAACAUAAAAAGAACAUAAAAGAGUAUAAAGAAAAUAGUUUAGCUUGACCUAAGGAUAGUAAACCAUAGGAUAUUAAGGCUUGUGUGAGACGAGGACUUGUGACUUGUGGUGAAAGGAUAAUGGAUUGGGUUACGUCGUAAACCUCUAAAAGGGAGAUUAGAGGUAGAUUCAAGGUGUGGUUUAUUCUCAACCAAGUGUGUUCAUGUUGGGCGUACGACAACAUGAAACCGAGUGAUGAGGAUAGAUGCCCUUGUAUGACUUUCGCCCGAUUUGAGUCAAUAUUAAAUGUUUCAUACUCGACCUCGAAGGUUGAGAAUUAAUCGAGUUGUCAUGUUUUAGGGAACGAUGGCACCGCGUAGACGAUCAUCGGCUAGAUCGACGCAGGAUGGGGCAAGUGAUGUCCCUGAGCAACCCAGAGCAAGUGGAGACUCGGAGCUCCGCGCACAGUUGGGAAUGUUGGUGGGCAUAGUGCAGCGUCAGCAGGAGGCUGCCAUGCGCCAGGAAGAACGGAUCAAGAGACUUCAGAAGACCGUGGAGCAGCUAGUUGCUGCGCCAGUUGCAGCUCGUCGAGGACUGGCAGGGCUUGCCGCAGAGAUGGUUCCGUCGGGGUCGGGCGAUCCAACUCCCGAAAGUGCAUUGGCGGAGGCGGAGAAAGAGCGGGCUAUGGCAGCCCUCAUGACCUUCGUAAAGUUUGAUCCGCCUACCUUCGAUGGAGAGAAUGUUGAUCCCUGGAUUGUGGAUAUGUGGAUUGACUCUAUGGAGACGCUCUUUGAGGAGCUGUACAUAUUGGAGCGGGACAAGGUGCCCCUAGCUAUGCAUUGCUUGAAGCGAUUGGCGGCCCUCAUGACCUUCGUAAAGUUUGAUCCGCCUACCUUCGAUGGAGAGAAUGUUGAUCCCUGGAUUGUGGAUAUGUGGAUUGACUCUAUGGAGACGCUCUUUGAGGAGCUGUACAUAUUGGAGCGGGACAAGGUGCCCCUAGCUAUGCAUUGCUUGAAGCGAUUGGCGAAGGUGUGGUGGAAAGGCAUUCGGCGGAAUCGAUCGCCUAGUCUUCCUCCCAUGACUUGGGAAGAGUUUCGGGGAUUGUUAUUUUCUACGUAGUUCCCCGAUAGUGAAAAGAGAAAGCUUCAGGACAAGUUCAGGAAGCUGCGGCAAGGAGACCGCUCGUUGCGUCCCGGAUGUGGUACGGGAUGACAAGGAUAUGGCCGAUUGGUUCUUACGUGGACUUCGACCAGAUAUUUACGAGAAGGUGCAAAUCCUCAAGCUCACAACCUUCGCGGAGGUGUUAGACCGAGCCUUGUGGGCGAGCAUGGCGAGGCUUUCGUGCAUGAGGAGCGCGAGUCUCAUAAGCAUGAGCGGGGAGGGGUGAGGCCACUGUCGAACAGUUCGGGUAGGCAGUCAAGUUCUAGGCGCCACUCGAAGCCGUCCUCUACUCGAUCCUCCCUAGGUUGUGUGAUUUGUGGUGGUACCCACCAGGCGCGGCGGUGUGCGUUGCGUGAUGGAAGAUGUAUCCGUUGUGGGCAGCCAGGCCAUAUGCGGGACCAGUGUCCGCAAGGUGAUAGCCGAGCCUUGGCAUUGGCGACGGCUUUUUCCUCUCCGGGACAGCCGGCGGGUGUGCCACCUGCGGCACGAUCGGGAGAGCGAGCGAUGACGGUGAUGCAACUGAGGGGUCCGCGGCGGGCGCCAAGUGGCUAUGGACACGCGACCCAGGUUGAGGGACCUACUGCUGACGGCGUCAUGGCAGGUAUGGUUUAGUUAAUGCAGUUAUGUGUUUCUGCAUGAUGUAAAGUGGUGCAUUGCAUGCAUUGAGCAUAUAGUCACUUACUACUAUAUGUAGUAGUAUAGUAGGGACCAAGUGGACGGGUAAAUGUAGAUACCCGGGCAUGCUCGUGUUGUGAGAGCGUAGUACCUACUAGUGCAGGUAGCGAGCUAUGUAGCACUAGCGAGUUGCUAGUGAUGGUCUGAUGAUGAGACUCGUAGUAGAGAUGGAAAUGAUGGACCGACUCGCAAAGCAAUGUGUGUAGCAGAUUGUGUGAGUUGAGUUACGAUGCUGGUGGAUACUCGAGCAGUUCGAGUAUUCCAGAUGUUGUUUCGGUAGAUCGAACAGUGAAAGUGAAUCACUGUUGAGUGAGUGGUUAGUUAGUACCCAAGUUUGGCCUGUGGGCCUAGUUGUACCUCAAUGUGAGGUAGGAGAAUGUGCUUGGUAGACGAUGUGCGGCGGCAAGAUUGUCCAAAGCCGAGACUUAGUGUAGAAUGCCAUCGUAGAGUACGACGCCCGAGUACAGGUACUCGCGGAGUGCGAAUAUGGAUCAGCCGAGUGAGUUUGUUGGCAGUAGCACUUGGGCAUUGCGAAGUGUGAAGCGUGCCUUGUGUAACAUAUGGCAUCCUGGAGCUGCGAUGUAAACUUUGAUCUAUUGGAUCAAAGUGAGAAUUGAGCUGGUUGGACGUCAUCCCCGAGUGACUUUGGACGCGUGAGAAUGAAUUCCGAUGAUAAGUAAGUGUUUCGGCGCAAAGUGGGCGCGAAACNGGUAUACCAUUUGGGUUCAUGUAUCAUCUAUUUCGAUGUACAGAGACAUGUAAAUGAAUGUAUUAUAAAGCAUGUAACUAGCUAAAUGUUUCAGUUAUACAGUUCAGUUUGAAAGUUUUAAGUUACAGUGAAUUUCAUUGUACAGUUAGUUUACUAUCACUUGUGUUUGUUGCUUGCCUUCGUGCAAGCCAUGUAUAUUGAAAUGUGAUCCUGGGAAUUAUUUAUUUCUUUAUACAUGUACUCGUUGUUGUUGAGCCUUGGGCGAACAGGGGAGGUGCUGUUCGUUCGGCGUCUGUGCGCGGGCCCAGAUCGACCAAAUUGGCGACCGCGGGACGUGACACCUUGGAUCACUCGUGGGGCUGGUGGCUCACACUAGGUGCAUAGGAGCCGAUAGUGGUACGUAUUGCUCGAUAGAGCAUGUAGUGCGAUUGACAGUAUGCUGAGAGUACGAAUUGUGACCCAACCCGAGAAUUUAAUGCUCUUUGGGGUCUUGGUUGCUCCUGGUUGGAGUGUGUGCGAAUUUCCAAGUGAGAAUUUCGCCCCAAUUAUGAUUGGGUCUACGCUUGCGAGCGAGAGGCGCUGCGCAUACGUUAAGACAGGUUUAGGCGGUAGGCCUAUGUAGUAUUGGUGGCCCUUGGUCUACCAAGGAAAAUCGAGGAAAGUGAUUUGGCGAGUAGCCUUAUCGGGGAGUUUGACUUGAGUUCACGAACGACGUGUUCAUGUGAGUCGUUGUGAAAGUGGUAUGAUGUUGACCGUGGCAUAUGGUAUUAGGUAAUGAGGUGCUCCUGGUGAGGCCUUGAGCUAAUGGCCAGCCACGUAGAGUUCGAGAAUUGGAAUUGGGAUGCGCCGAGGUGGGCCAUCUCACGUCAAAGUUAAAGGUUAGUGCGGAAUUAGAGCACUUACGAUGAAGCGAUGCACCGAUGAUAUUGCUUUUAGGCAAUGUCGGUGAUUGAUUUGGAACGCAUUCCCUGAAGGGAAAGUAAAUGCAAAGAAGGUUUCUUGCAUGCCAAGUGACAAGUGGGGUUGGAGCGCAUAGAGUCGUCGAGUUUCGACUUGCGUUACCACCUAGAGUGACGGAGACCGUAAUGCACUUUGUGAGAUGUGCCUUGCAAAGUUGGAUGCGUUUGGUGUUAUGAACUUCGUAGUAGUCCUCUUGGAUAGUUCCAAAAAGUGUAAAGCCAUUCCGAAGUGAAAAAGUGCUUUGGUGCCCUCAAUUGCUCGAGGAGCUAAAUUGAGGUGUGUUUUGAAUUUCGCGGACGAAAUUCUUUUAAAGGAGGGGAGAAUGUAACAUACCGAACAUCUAAAACUUUGAAGUUACGGUGUACAUUUGGUUGAAAAGCCAUUUGCAUGGUUCCGGUGAAGUUCGGUGAAGUUCUAGAGAAAUCGGGCGUUUCGGUGCGCGUAGGUGCGAAAACGGAACCCGAAAGGUUAUGUUGGACCAUGAGCUAAAUUCGGCAUUAGCGUGGAUGAAAAGAUGAUGAAAAUACGCUCGAAAACAUGUUUGGAGAGUCUCGGUUUGAUUUGAAAUGAAUCGGAUGUCAAACGAGCGAAAACGAGCGAAAACGGAGCGAAAACGGUGAAAAAAAGCUGAAAAUUUGGCUAAGUCCUAAAUGCUAGAAUUCUGGACCCUACGGGAAUCGGUCCCUUAAGUCCAAGGACCCGUCCCUGAGCCCGAAAAAUGCCCAGAAUAAGUAGUGGCAGGUUGGUAAUUAGGGGGAAGUUGGCAUAUAUGAAGGGCUUUGCCCCAACUCCUUCUUCCUCCUCAUUCCAACACACACACACACACACAUAUUGGUAGAGAGAGAUGCUCUCUCCUCUCUCUCUAGGAGCUCUCCCUCUUUCUCUCUAAGAGUGGAUUUAGGAGGAGAAGGUGGAGAUUGGAGCUUGGAGAAGGACCAACAUCAUCUUCUUCAUCUUCUUACUAGCUAGUUGAGGUAAGCUCUUUGAGUCUCUCAUGGUGAAUGGCUAGAGCAUGGCUUAGACCUCUUUGAACUUAGCUAGAUGAUGUUUAUUGGUGCUCUAAGAGUAGUUGAUCUCAUUUAUUGUGAGAUUAGUAGCUUGUAUGAAGCUAAUUGCAACAAUGGUGAUUUUGGGCUCCAAAAAGAGGGCUUUUGCAUGUAAGGGCUUUUGAUCUCAAUUGACCCUAUACAAACCUAAUUAGGGGUAUGACGAACGCGUUGGUGCGCUCGGUUCGACAAUCCGAUGAGUGUACGCGAAGUUAUUGACGAAACAGUUUGUUUUGGUAUAGAUAGCCGCAGCACGCGGGAUAAGCCUCCAAAAAUCAUGAAAAUGGAUUGGGAGCAUCGUGGUGUCGGGGAAUAAACUCCCGAACAGACGGAUCACGGAUUGGUGGUCGUUCGGGUGGUCGCACAAGAGUUCGGGCCAAACCGGUUCACGGGUGCCGCGGGAAGCCGAUUACAAGUGACUACAAGCAAUCGGAACGCGUUAAAAGGUUGGUUGUGCUUACCGAAGCGACUAGGUCGCCUUCAUGCCAAAGUAUAAUGUAUUUCACUAUUGAUGCAUGGUGGUAAUAAGAAUGCUAUGUAAGAAUGCAUGAUAAGAAUGCUAUGUAAGAAUGCAUGAUAAGAAUGCUAAGAAAUGAAUGCAUGAUAAGAAUGCUAAGAAAUGAAUGCAUGUGAUAGAUGUUAAGUAAUACAUGUAAUAUGUGCCAAGUAACGAAUCAUAUGAGAUGUAUGCUAAAGAAUGUAUGUUGACAUAUUAUAGAAAUGCUAGAUGAAGCAAGAGUUAAAUGUUAAAGGCAUGUAUGAGAUGUAUGUUAAAUAAACAUAUGAGCUAGAUGAUGUAUAAAUGCAUGAUUUCAUAAUGUAAGAAUAUGUUAGAAUGAUAUGAGGGUUGAACUUGAGUUAAUGAAUACUAAGUAAAGUAAAGAACUCGACAUGUGUCAUAUGUAAAGAAUCCUAAGUAUAAAUAACUAGGAUGACGAGUGGCAUUGAACCUAGUGUCAUUGAACAUAGGUUAUUCACGAGUGGCAUGUCAAGUAUGGUUCCUAGGUGUGGACAACUAGGAUAACAAGAACAUGAGUGGCAUUAAACCUAGAGUCAAGUAAACCUAGGUUGUGAAUGUAGUGACAUGAAACCUAGAGUCAAGUGAACCUAGGUGAUUAAGAAUAUUGAACCUAGUGUUAAUGAACCUAGGCUAAGAAGGUAAUGACAUUGAACCUAAUGUAUUAACUUAGGUUGAGUAAAGGCUUGGACCUAGAUAGGUCGAUAACAUAGGGUUGAGACCGACCCUUGAGUUAUGUAAAGUGAAUUCCGGAAUCCCUGCUGCGAGUGCAGCGGCUGCUAGUGCAACAUACAAGCUCGAUAGUUCUUGGCCGCGGGUGCAUGUGGCAUGUUCCUCUCCCACCGGAAGAACUUCGAGGCUUGUUAUUGAGCAAGAAUCAUGAGUGCUAGGGUGCAUGUGGCAUGUUCCUCUCCCUAUCGGGGAUCUUGACUGCGGGUGUAUGCGGCAUGUUCCUCUCCCACCGGGGGAUCCCUGACCACGGGUAUACGCAGCUCUGGGCGACCCGUUGGGCGAUGUGGUUUGUGGAUUGAUGGCUGAGGUGCAUGUGAUAGUUCCUUCAUCUCGAGCCUGAUAGAGCGCGGAUUAUCCGCAUAUGAUUGACUCAAGACCGAGUCGGGCGGCAAAGUUGUCUAAGGUAAAGUAACCUUAGGAAAGAAUGGCAAUAUGUAUAAUAUGGCUAAGGUGUGAGUACCCUUAGAAUAAAGAAUAAAUAAAAAAAAAGGGCUAACGCUAAAGAAUGGCAAGUAAUAAAGAAUAAAGAAAGGCAAAUGCUAAAGAAUAGCUAGUAAAGUAAAGAAUGACUAAAAAUAAAGAAUGGAUAAGAAUAAAAUGUAGAAGCAAUUAAUCUACUAUAUGAGUUGCAUAAUUUACAUAUUGCAUGUUGUGAGGUAAAAGUAUGGUAAUGUUAGUUGCAUGAUUUACGAUUUCAUAUCUAUUUAUUGGACUAACAUGUUGUUUGCUCUCCUUUGGAGCUUACUUGUCAGGUAAGCUUUGAUGGUCUUUGGUGGUCGUUCUUUGUAGUUUGGAUUUUAAGCUUCAAGAAUGGAGUUGGUUCUCACCCCACGUUGUUUUGGGGUGUUACAGGUUCACACGUGAGCGGCGUGGCGGCGCGAGGCAAGGGCGUAGCUCCGUAGUUAGCGCCCUACCACUGAGACCAGAUAGCAGCACCCUGAGUCGACUUCUUAGGGGUAUAAAAUGCAAAGAACCAAGAGUAUGAUGAUUGUAAGAACAAUGUUGUAAUGACUAUGUUAAAACUAAAUUGUAUUUGGAAGUAAAAAUCAAGGAAUCAAAUGUGAUGUAAUCUAAGAAUGCAAAAAUAUAAUAUGUGAGAUGAAUGCUUGUAAUAGCAAGUAGAUUUAUGUUUUUGAUACUUCCUUAUGCAAUCCUUGGUUGAAAUCUGUUCCUGGUUGGAACUUCGUAUAUUGUAUUGAUUGCGACGCCUUGAAUGUACAGGGGAGACUCUGUCCGCGGUACAGGGGAAACCCUGUCCGUUCGCCGGUCUAUUGGCGUGCCCGAAACCGACCAAAUAGGCGGGCUCGGGGCGUGACAUAUACCUAAGGCCCAUCUUCUCAAGGUGGACUUCAGUCUUCUGCUGGCUAAGUGGUUUAGUCAAUGGGUCUGCCAUGUUAUCCGUGGAGUCUACUCUCUACAUCUUGAUAUAUUUCUGUCGAGGUAGUCGCGUAUAAUAUGUAACCGCCGCUCUAUAUGCAUGAACUUCUGAUGAGACCUUGGCUCCUUAGCUAGGGCUAUUGCAUAGUUGUCACAAUAGAGUGGUAUAGCAUCUGAUGACAUCACACUUAAUUCCGCGACAAACUUCUUGAAUCAGAAGGCCUACAUUAAAUGCGGCAAUAUACUCAGCUUUCAUGGUAGGGUGGUUGUUUGGAACUAUUCUAAUACACCAAGCCACUAUAGCAUAAGAACACACAUCCUGACGUAGACUUUCUAUCGUGAACAUCAGACAUGAAGUCUGAAUCAGUAUAUCCUUAUAUUUUCAACUCUCCUCCUCCAAAGACCAAGAACAUAUCCUUAGUCCUUCUUAAGUACUUGAGUAUGUUCUUGACAGCAGUCCAGUGCUCCUCUCCUGGAUUAGAUUGAUAUCUACUUGUGACACUCACAGCAAGAGCGAUAUCAAGUCGUGUACAUAGCAUGGCGUACAUAAGACUCCCUAUUGCUGAGGCAUAAGGGAUCUUACUCAUACGUUGAAUCUCUUCAAAUGUAUUGGGGUAUAUUUUCUUAGAAAGAUAAAUUCCAUGUCUAAGAAGUAAGUCCCCUUUUGGAGUUUUCCAUGCCAAACUUUUUCAGCACCUUUUCUAUGUACAUUUUCUGUGAGAGGCCUAGCAUCCUUUUAGAUCUAUCUCUAUUGACCUUUAUCCCCAAAAUAUAGGAUGCUUCUCCUAGAUCUUUCAUGGAGAAUUCUUUAGACAAUCAUAUUUUAAUUGAAGUCAGCAUUGGAAUGUCAUUCCCAAUUAGGAGAAUGUCAUCCACGUACAAUACGAUGAAUAUGACAGCUCUCCCACUGACCUUCUUAUAAACACAUGGUUCCUCCUCAUUCUUAACGAAAUCAAACGAUUUAAUCACGUUGUUAAAACGAGUAUUCCAAGUCCUAGAUGCUUGCUUAAGUCCAUAAAUGGAUCGUUGCAACUUGCAUACUUUGUGACUUUCGUCACCGGAAGUAAAACCCAGAGACUGCUCCAUAUAGAUAUCUUCUUCAAGAUAUCCAUUUAGGAAGGCAGUUUUCACAUCCAUUUGCCAGAUCUCAUAAUCAUAGUAUGCUGCAAGGGCAAGCAGUGUUCGAAUUGAUUUAAGCAUGGCCACAGGUGAAAAGGUCUCUUGAUAGUCAAUGCCUUCGCGUUGACUAUAAGCUUUCGCAACCAGCCUUGAUUUAUAGGUCUCCAUAUUUUCAUCCGAACAUAUCUUUCUUUUGUAGAUCUAUUUACACCCGAUAGGUACUAUGCCUUCUGGUGGGUCUACCAAAAUCCAAACCUGGUUGGAGUGCAUUGAGUCAAUUUCUGACUUCAUGGCAUCCAGCCAUUUCUCGGAAUCGAUGUCAGACAUCGCCUCUUUGUAGGUUUUGGGAUCAUCACCAUGUUCCCUAUCUCCCAUGAGGAACAUUUCCUCUACAUCCUCUGUAACGAUACCUAAAUAUCGUUUAGUAGGAUGGGAGAUUCUACUCGACCUACGAGGUAGAGGAGGUACUACAUGUACUGGAUCAACUUGAAUAGGUUCUGUAGGUUUGAGGACUCGUUGCUCUUCAGAGACUCUCUCUUCAAGCUUAAUUUUUCUCCCACUAGCUUCUUCUUGAAUAAACUGUUUUUUCAAGAAAAUAGCAUGUUUGCUUACAACAACAUUGUGAUUCUCUGGGAUAUAAAAAUAGUAAUCUAAAGAUUCUUUAGGAUAUCCAAUAAAACGAGCCCUCUCAGACCUAGCCUCUAACUUGUCCACUUGUAGUCGCUUAACAUAGGCCGGACAUCCCCAAAUCUUGAUAUGACCAAGGCUUGGUUUCUUACCAUGCCACAUCUCAAACGGCGUGGUAGGAACGGAUUUAGAGGAAACUCUAUUUAACAAGUAAGCUGCGAUAAGCAAAGCAUGUCCCCAAAGCAAUAAAGGAAGAUCAGUGAAGCUCAUCAUAGAUCGAACCAUAUCCAAUAAGGUUCAGUUUCUCCGUUCUGACACCCCGUUGAGUUGAGGUGUUCUUGGAGGGGUCCAUUGUGAGACUAUGCCGUUUUCUUUGAGAUAAUUUAGAAACUCUCCACUAAAAUAUUCUCCUCUUCGAUCUGAUCGAAGAACCUUGAUGGAUUUUUCAGUUUGCUUUUCUACUUCAUAUCUGAAUUCUUUGAACUUUUCAAAAGUCUCAGAUUUGUGUUUCAUAAGAUACACAUACCCAUACCGUGAAUAAUCAUCGGUAAAGGUUAUGAAGUAGAGAUAACCACCCCUAACAUGCACAUCAAAUGGCCCACACACGUCAGUAUGUACCAGAAAAAGUAUCUCAGUGGCCCUUACACCUUGUCCUACAAUGGGUAAUUUAGUCAAUUUUUCUUGAAGAUAAGAUUCACAAACUAGAUAAGACUCUGAAGUUAAUAAGCCGAAAAGCCCAUCUUUAUCCAAUUUAUUUAUCCUUUCUUCUCCAAUAUGACCAAGCCUGAGGUGGCACAUAUACUUUAAGUUCAUCUCAUUUCUAGGUCUUUUAGACCCAACAGCAUUCACUACUUGCUCAGAAAUAUUUACAGAUACAUCCAUAUGUAAAUGAUAGAGACUGUCAAUCAUAAAACCACGGGCAAUAAUUUUAUUUCUAAAAUAAAUUAUGCAGUAGUUUUUGUCAAAAAUAAACCAUCCUGUGCAGAAAUCAAAUUUCUGUUAGCAGGAGGUACAUAAUAGCAGUCUUUAAGUAAUAAAACAUAUCCUGACGGUAGUCGCAAUGGAUAGGUGCCAGCAGCCACAGCAGCAACUCUUGCUCUGUUGCCUACCCGUAGGGUCACUUCACCUUCCCUAAGCCCUCUACUUUCCCUUACUGGAAGUAGAGGAAACCGUAAGGUUAGUUUCUAUUACGAGCAAGUCUGAUAUACCUUCCGAAGGUGUGUCUUCCUCUUAUUCUUCAAGCUCUCCAAGUAGACAGGAUAGUUCCUCUUCCAAUGACUGUCAACAUUGCAGUGGAAACAUUUUCCUCUGUUAGCGGCUUUUGUCUUAGGAGCUUUUCUCUUGGACUUGUUCUCCGUCUUUUAUUUCUUUGCGGGUUUUUUUUUCCAAUUAGAUGUUCUUUUGGAAGAGGAAGCCCACUCCACAGCGAGAACCGUGCCCUUUGAACUUUUCAAAGUCCUCUCUAUUAUUAUCAACAUGUUCAAUAACUCCGCAUUAGUGCAGUCAAUUUUAUUCAUAUGGUAGUUUACAAUAAACUGUCCAUACGAUACAGGAAGGGAUUGCAGGAUCAGAUCAACUUGCAAUUCCAUAUCCAUUUUCACACCGAGCUUCUCAAGCUCUUCGAGGUCUUUGAUCAUUGUCAAACAACGAAAAGACUGCCCUUUGGCUAGUUAUUGGACGGUUUGGUAAUAUGAGGUUUUCCUGGUCGAGAACAAUGCAGAGCUUCUUGGAAUUUAAAACUAUUUUAAAUUCCUUAGCCAGACUUUAUAAUUACAUUCAGUUAAGGUUUGGUGUCGAGAAGAUGAGAGAGAUAAUUGGAAGCAGAUAUUUGCUUUGCAAAGAGUAAAGAUUCAAGUUAGAUAUUUGUAUUUGUUUUGAAAAUUUAUUUUAGGAAUUUUAAAAAUAAAUUUAGCCUCCCACUAUUUUCUCGAGUCUCUUACACUCCUCGGGUAGAGAAAUGGAAACCCAACGCGACAAAAGGUUUCAAGUGGGUACUGCGGUCCCACCAAUUUAACGUACCACCACACCUAACAAUUAUUGGUGAUAUGUAAACCGAUGAGUGGACAACUCUUGUCCAAUGCUUCUCAAGAAAAUUGCAGUGAUCGCUCUCUAAGUCCUGUAGGCCCCACCUAACAGUUAUUGACCCCAUUCCUUAGUUAAGUCAGGCCUACCGUUCAAACAUGUAAGCAAAGCCGUCAUUGGGUCCCUCACCGGACAGUUAUUGGGCCCAACCCCAUCUUUACUCCGUAGCAUCUCCUGCUAAUAGAGUGGUUGCGCCUUCCCGAUGCAACUGACCACUGUAACCAGCCGUGCCAAUCAACACCAGAAAAACGCUCGCACUUCUACAACGGCAGAAGACCGCUCGGUUUAAUAUUUGUGUGGAGAUUAAUAUUUAGGUCUCAAAAAAUAUUUUAUUUAUUUACAUCUAAUGCAAAUAAAAAAACAAUCCGCGCAUAAAAAUAAUUAAACUGGUGAUGAUCAUGGAUCUUAGAAGUGGAUUCGGACUCGAGCCACUGAGUCGGAAUCGGGGUCUUAGGGUCAUAAAUUACAAGCACACACACGUCAUCGGUUUGAUCAUCUUCAACUUCUUGAUCCGAUCUGGAGCUUCAACUUGAUUUGAUCCUUAUCAACACCUUGAUCCGACCGCCAUCAAGUAUUCGUCUCUAUCCGGGCCUUGCGAACUUUUAGGCUUGCAACCGAUCAACCAAUGACGUGCAACCAUACAUUAUACAACCCAACAAUACAAAUGAAAUGAAAAUUAAUUACAUUUGAUAACUUUUAUCUCUAAUCUAUUGAGACACGCAGAUAUCCAAAUAAAUCGGCUUGUGCACGCAGACACAAAUAUAGCCAUCUCUAAUACAAAAUUCUUAAUUUAAACAAAUUUAAAAUUACAGGAUUCUGCAUACAUAUCAUACAUCACAUGUCGAAAUAUAAAUAGGUCGCUAUCCAUGAUCAUCACCGAUAUGUAUCUCAUACAUCACAUAUAUAAAAAAUAACUUUGGGUAUUCUAAUUAACCGUUCAACGAUAAUUCGAAAAAUAGUGUCUAAAUUAUUAAAAGCAAUCAAUCUUAUUGACCGUUCAUAAUUUUGAUCAACAACUUAAUCUUCAAAAAUAACAACUUGAUCUUAUCAAGAUUUGAUCUAAUCAAAUUAGAUCUUUCUCUUCCUUAAUAAUAUGUUAAUAUCUUUUAAAUUGAUCUAAUCAAUUUAAAAAUUUAAAAUUUUUUAAAAAAAAUAAAAAAAAAAUGUCAUUUGUUUCCGUACGGAUGCUACAGUAAAUAUUUUUUUUUUUUGCUAGAAAAUAAGAAAUCAUCGAUUAAGUUGUUUAAUCAAUUCGGACUUUUCGAAUUAGCCAAAAACGAUCUAUAAAUCGCUCUACCGGCGAAAAAUAGUUUAAAAUACCCAAAACUAUAAUUUUAAUCUUAAAAACAUGAGGAUGGCUCUGAUACCACUGUUAGAAAAUUGCGUACAGUAAAACGCAGCGAAAAAAGAGACAAAUUUGAUUUUGAAAACUCUCGAGAUCCAAUCUCAAAAACCACACAAUUUGGAUCCCUCAUAUUCUUUAAGAUUAAAGAAGAAAAGUAAGAUCGAAUCUUUAUCUUUUUCGCGGAUAGAUCUUCACCUGAAUUUAAUGAUCGUGGAAUUCGGUUCUCUUGAAGCCGCACACGCGUCCGGCCACCAUAGAUAUCCACACGAGGUUCUUGAUUUGAUAGAUGUCCUCACCGGGGUGCUAGCAGUAGUACACUGGACCUUUGCAAAUUGCGAGGUUCGAGUGUUCGAGCUGUGUUCUGAGUCCUUCCAAACUUUCUGGUGGGUCGUUGACAGUGCUCCGACCUAUGGCUCGUAUCCCGAGAAUUGUGGUUUAAAGCUGUGUACCAAAACCCGAAAAAAGGGGAUUUGGCGAACUCUCGGGUAGCAAUCUGGAGGUCUUGUACCGGUAUAAGAUUGGUGGUUGUACCGGUACAAGGUUGAUGGUUGUACCGGAACAGCCACCGGGCUUGUACCGGUACAGAGCCGUUGAACCCCGCCAACCCGAGCCUCGGGUUUGUGAUUUUCGUGGGGCUUGUACCGGUACAAGGGCCCGUGUACCGGUACAAGGUGGCAGAAUUUGAGCAGUUUGAACUGCAGGGGUGUUUUUGCGAUUGUGGGUCUCUUAUAUCAACAUCCACGCCCCUAGGGCUCUCCUUUGAGCUCACCACUGCAGGGAGAAAGGUAAGGCACCUCUCCCCUUCACCCCCUUUGGAUUUGAUCUUUUUUUAGCUUGGGAUUUAAGUGUUAAUCCCUCUCCUUUUCCUUUUGGUGCAAUUUCACCAUUGUUGAAGCUUGGAGCUUAGAUUUGGAGCUUUGUUGAGGGGAGAUCUUGGCAUUUAGAGAGUUUAGAGUUUGGAUUGAAGCUUCUAAGAGGUAAUCUACUUGUCCUCUCCCUCUAGAUUGGAUUUUUAUUGGUGGUUUUGAGAUGAAACCCUAGAAUGAGGUUUUAGGGCUUAUUUUGGGCAUUUUGAAUCUAGGACUUUUGGAGCUAAAUUAAUUGGAUUAGAAUCUACCUUUGGGUUGGAUCGAAAGGAUUCUAGCUCUCUUUAGGAGCUUGAGGGAGAUUUUUUACACAUUAGGUGAGUUUUAGCCCUUUUGUCUUGUUGGUUAAUGUUUGAUUUUAUAGUUGAUCGUAAUGCCCGUGUAUCUCUUCACUCAAUACUUUUAGGGUAUUUUGAGACUCGUGGACAAUUUCGUUCGGCGAAACGAGACACUACGCAACGGUUCGGUGAGUUUGACCUAGCCACACAAUGAGAAAAUCUCAUUUGUGAAGAUUUGUGUAAUAUACCGAAAAUUCGGAAAAAUAAAUAUCGAACUUUAGUCAAAUUGACCAAAGUGCGAGGAUGGUAUACUUCGGAAAGUCCGAAGGUGUUAAAACGAUCAAAAGUGCGUUGUGGAAGGUUUUCGAGAGCUAAAGAAUCAAAUCCUGCGAAACUGUAGAUUUUCAGCUCUCAGGGACCGGUCCCUAGUGGGAGAGACCGGUCCCCGAACGCGUAUGAAAUGAGACAGCCGAAAAAUCGGCUAAGUCCUGAGAAAGUAGCUCUCGGGAACCGGUCCCUGUCCGAGAGACCGGUCCCCGAGAGACCGGUCCCCCAAAGAGAGACCGGUUGCCCUGCGCGCAGCAGCCCUGGCUGCGCGGGGAGAGCCUUCGGGAACCGGUCCCUGAAGGAGAGACCAGUCCCCGCCUGCGCGAACAGCCCAGUCCAGGCUGUGUGAAAGAGUAAAGGUUGAGGGGUUUAGCUGCAAUUUUGCAACCCAAUAGGCUAUGUAUGAGGGCAAAUGAGAUAUUUCUCUCAUUUCUUCACCCUCUCACACUCUCUUCUCUCCCUCUCUCUCUCUAGAAGACAAAGAAGAAGAAGAAGAAGGAAAGAAAAGAAGGAAAAGAAGGAGAAGAAGAAGAGGAAGUGAAGAAACUCCCUCUCCCUCAUCUCUAGCUUGGAAAAGGAGAGCUUACAAGGUAAGCCUUGAACCCUAAUUAUGGUAGAACCUAAUUUAGGGUUUGGAUUAAGCUUGAAAUGGGUUUUGUGGAACCAUUUGAGUAUUUGAAGCUUUUCUUUUGCUUCUUUUGAGAUCAAGACCAUAGAAAUGGUGAAGCUUGAGGAGAGCUUCAUCACCUCUCAUGGUGGAACCCUAAGUAGGGUUUUGAUUUGUCUAAAGAUGGUUCUAAUGGACUAUUUAGAGUAUAAUGAAGCUACUUUUGCUUCUCUUUGAGAUCAAACCCUAGGUUUACACAUACAAUGGAGCUAGGGCACCCAAAUUGGGGCUUUUGCUCAUGGGGAUUUCUAAGUGAAAUUGACCCUUCAAAAACCUAAUUGGGGGUAUUUCCGCCGCGUUGGUGCGCUCGGAUUAACGUUACGAAAAGUCAAAGUAAAGUUAUGGGCAAAAUAGCCUAAUAAGGGUUCGUUUUGCCGCAGAUAAAGAACGAAGCAUCUAAAAAUCCCAAGAAAAUCAUCGGAGCACCUUUGAAAGCCUACGAGGUGGGUGGUGCUUCUCAAACUCAUUGAAUUUCUCUCUAUGCCUAAUGUGUCAUUCAUUUGAACAUGUAUAUAUAUAUUGUUUCAUGCAUUUUAGGGUAAAGUAAUGAUGAAAAUGUGAUGAUGUAUGAUUGUGGGUACAACUUGCAUAAUAUGAUGAAUGAGAACUAUGUGAAUGUUGAAAACCCUAUAUGUAUGCAUGAGAGAAAAGUGAGCACCCAAAGUGAGCAAAAGAACAGAGUGACACAAUGACAUAGAUCGAGUGGCAUUCGAUAAAGUUAAAGUGAAAUGACACUAGAGAUAGUGUGAGGUAAAGAACCAAUGUAAUGUAAAGAAUGAUGAAAAUGACAAUGUUAAAGUUAAAGUAAUGUGGGGAGUAAAGAACAUGAAGUGCUAGAGGUAGCCAAAAGUAAAGAAUGUAAAGAAUAUGAUUGCUAGAGUUAGCAAGAGUAAUGAAUGGUAAAGAACAAUGAUUGCUAGAGUGGCAACAAAAAGUGAUGAAAGAACACUAGAGCUAGUGUAAAGUCAAGAUUGAACUUAUAAAUCCUUUGAGUUAAGGAUAUGAUCAUACUUGCUAUGAGUUCCGUGCUCGAGGGCGGUCGCUCCCCCUCGGGCGAUGCGCUCCGGAGUUAUGCAUCACGGGUUGGAGUAAACCCGAAGGACGGUCCUAGCGGGUGAGUUCCUGCGAUGAUGGACUUAAUGUGAAGCAAGUUAAUGUGGCGAUACCCCCGGGUUAGCCUUGAGAUUAAAGAACAAAGAGCAAAGAACAAAGUGCAAAGAACAAAGAACAAAGAACAAAGAGUAAAGUGAAAAGAACAAAGAAUUUGCAUAAUCUGCAUUUAUUUAAUGUUGAGCAUAUUUCUGCUUAUUGUUCAGGCAUAUUAGCAUCAUGUAUAGUUUGGUUACUGUUUACAGCCUAUUCUUUCUAUUAUGCCUGAGUUAGUCCUAGUGGGAAAGUCGGUGAUGUUGAGGCCGAACCCACUGGGAACUUUGUUGUAGUUCUCACCCCACUAUUUCCACAGAGCCGGGACCGAGCGAGCCGGCGAGCGACCGAGGUAAAGGUAUCGCGCCUUAGACAGAGGCCACGAGAGUUGAGUUGGGUUUACAUUUUGAUAGUGGCUACCCUAUGUUCAUCUUUUGUACAUGAUGAUUAGUAAUGUAAAGAAAAGAAUGUAAUGUGUAUUUUGAGGUAAAUGUGAUGUAAGAAAGAAAUGAUGAAAUAAUGUAAUGAAAUGUAAAGAAUCCUAAAUGUAAGAAAUGGAUGCAAUGUAUAUGAUCUAAAAUGAAUCAUAUUACUUGUGUAGAUGUUUAGUUUUCCUUUCUUUCACUAAUGGCUAUUGCUUACCCUCGUGUAAGCCGUUUGUGUAUGUUUCCGCUAGUGCAUUUCUUGUUUGAAUUUGUACAUGUGAUGAGCCUUGUGCGGAUAGGGGAAACUCUAUCCGUUCGGCGUCUUUUUGACGUGCUCGGGUCGAGCCAAAUUGGCAUCGGUCCCGGGGCGUGACAAUUUGAGUAUCGUUAAUUGAAAAAGUAUGCAUAUUUAUGUUAGAUAUAUUUAUUAUGAAUUUUAGAAUGCUUAACAUGCAUACGUUAUGUAUAGUAAAUUUUGGACCUCUAUGUGGUUGGGUGCAUGCAUUUGGGAUGUAGCAUUCUAGUGGAAACUUGGGACCAUGAUUCCUAUUAUGAAAAUGAACAUUGCUUUCUUGCAUUUAACCUUAUGCCUAAUUGCGACAUUAGGGACUUUGGAAGCCUAGAGAGGCUUGGGGACUCAGGCUAUUUGAGGUAUUGGGCCGAUGUCAUAAAGAGGCAUUGGGCCCCCGGCUAUAGUGAAUAUUGGUAUUGACGUCAUAUUUGAAACAUAGAACAUGAAUUGAGCUUUACUAGUUGUGAUGCUUAAGUGUCAUAAAGAGGCACUAAGCAAGUGAGUGUUGGGUUAUCAUAUUGUGACAUAGAGCUAGACCGUUGGGUUACUAGUAGCUAUUGCCAUGUUUGAGACAUGAGGGUUGGAUACUUGAGCCUUUGACUACGCUUGCUUGCCAUUUGUGCUCAUUCGCACAUGCUUGUGAGGGUCGCUCCCUACAAGCCGGCACUCCGGAGUUAGCAUACGCGACUUAUGUUCGCUCGUGCGGUAUUGAGAAGCCUACGGGGUCGAGUGGGACAGACACAUUCCAAGAGUAGGGAUGUUGGGCUACCACAGGCACUUAGGCGGCACAAGCUGGACUACCUUGGGUAGGUCCUUAAUUGGAAAUGGAAAUCGACACGGUGUUGAGUGUGUUAUAAUCACUACCAGAUAGAGAGUAGUAGUUGGAUUACUUGGACUUGCUUUUAGCAUAGUUUUGGACACUUGAGUAUACAUACAUACAUGUAGUAUGCUAGGAGAUGUUGCUUAUUGCAUCCAUAUAUACAUUAUUGCCAUGAUAAAGCAUGAUCUUUAUAACUUCAUAAAGUAGACCGUGACAUUUACCUGUGGCUAUGUUGAAACAUAUUACUUACGCAUUGAACAUUCUUCUUUAUAAAAGAGUAAAUGUAAAACAUUGACAUCGUAAUGUUUAUGGUAUAGUAAGCUUAGUAAACAUGCAUACUUUCAUACCGCAGUUAUCAUUAUUAUUAUUGCUGUUUACCGUACUUACCCUUUUCUUUUGGGGCCUAGUGGUGCAUUGAGCUGAGGUUAGUAAUUGCCCACUGGGAACUAUAAAUUAUAGUUCUCACGCCCUCUGUUUUAUAUUUUCUUUCAAAGCCUUCAACGCCGGGAGAGGCUAGGGACCGUGGGAAGGGCGUUGCUUCGAGCUAGCUCUUCAGCGAGUGACGAGUUGCUAGGUGGUCUACCUCUCGAUAUAUUUUAUUUUGGAAAGGUUGAGAGCUGUACCAGUGUACUAGAGACCACCCUUUUGUGUACUUUUUUUUUGGACAGAUAUUGUAUUACUUUAUAUUUCACUCUUAUUGUUAUAGUAUUAUCCUUUUUCCUAAUUGUAGAUGAUAGAUCUAUUUAUGCUCUGAUAUCUCUAGAUGUUGUUUUUCUUUGGUUUAUUUUCCGCUGUUGUUGUAGACGCCUUAUAUGUGUUGACAUAUAGCGGGUCUGGGCACGCUACCGGGAGGGCCCCUGUCGGUCCCGGGGUAUGACAGAUUAGUUUUGUAUUAGAGCCUAGGGUUGAGUCUUUAUGGACCUAGCAAACCUUAGGCCGGUUGGACUAUAGGAAUUAGGUUCGUGAGAGACGAUGUCUAAUCGAUUUGUGAGCGAAAGUAUUAUGAUUGGGUUUUAUGACAACUCUAAAAAGUUAGAGUUUGAUCGGAGUGUAUGGCUACUAACUUCGCGGAGGGUUACGUUGGCGGCCGACAACGUAACAUCGGGAGUUAGUAGUGAAAGACACUUCCUUACUUUCGCAUGAGUUGGGUUUUAUCUAUUUGAGUGGGGAUGCGAUAGCGUGGGUUACUAACUUGCACUUUUAUGUUUUGUAGUGACGAUGCCGGUUACACGCUCCCAUUCUGCUGGGGCGGAUGAUGCGGCACACCUCGAGGAGGCCGAGACCUCCGCUACUUCCGAAUCUAGUGAGGUCCGUGACUUUUGGACCCAGCUUGCGGUCCUCACUGAUCUGUUGGCGCAGCAGACGGCAGCGGCGCAACGACAGGCUAAGGUGGCUCAGCGGCAGGAGAUGUGGAUGAAGCAUAUUGAGGACCUCCUACUUCAGCAGGCGGCAGCUUCGAGGGAGACCCAGGUUCCCACACCGCCAGCACCCGUGGUGGACGUCGCACCGAGGGCGCAGUCCCGCGCUCCCAGUUCUUCACGUGCGGCGCCGGCGAUCACACCUCGGGAGGAGGUGGCUGCGGCACUCCCAGUUCAGAGACCGGCCACGAGGGCAGCUUUCCCCGUGAGGGCCGAGGGAGCCGAGCGGGAUCGGCUCAUGGAUCGCCUCAGUGAUUUUAGAAGGUGCAGCCCGAGGACGUUUGAUGGCGAGAACGUCGACCACUGGAUUGUUGAGAAGUGGUUGAUGCACAUGGAGAAGCUUUUUCGAGACACUUUUGUGGAGGAGCGGGACAGAGUUUGGCUCGCCACUCACUUUCUCGACGGCGAGGCCUACCGUUGGUGGUUGGAUAUCCAGGACAACCCCAACACUGACUUGGCGGCGAUUACUUGGACGAGGUUCAAGGAGCUCCUUCUGGCGCACUACUUUCCGACCAGCGUCAAGAGGAAGAUGGAGCAGGAUUUGCGCGGCUUGCGCCAGGACGAGCGGUCAGUGGCCGAGUACGAGAGGGAGUUCUCCCGGCUACGUCACUGUGUACCGUUUGUUGUGAGGGAUGACAGGGACAAGGCCAGCAUUUUUUAGCGCGGAUUACGGCCUUCUAUCUUCCGGUUGGUGCAGUCUUCCAACCUCCAGAUCUAUCGGGAGGUUGUGGAUCGAGCAUUGAUUGUAGAGGCUGGAGCGGCAGAUCUUCAGGAGCGUCGCGAGAGCUCGGAGAAGGGGAAGGGAAAGAGGCCCGCGGCUGAGAGUGCGAGUCAAACGCACUCACGAAGGCCGCCGAGGCACCCCAGGAGCCAGAGGCAGUCGCAGGGACGUGGCUCGUCUACUCAGCGAGGAGGACCCGACCGUCGCCAGGCCCCCCGCUGCGUGAUCUGUGGCGGUCCUCAUUAUACGCAGCACUGUUCACGUAGCCGGAGCAGGUGCUUCUUGUGUGGCCAGGAGGGCCACUUUCAGUCGGACUGCCUGAGGAGUCCAUCGCCAGCGCCAUCUUCGGCAUCUGCACCAGCAUCGCCAGGUCCCAGCCAGGGGACAUCUUCUGCGCAUCACCAGGCCGGUCGGCCACCUGUCCAGCGGCAGACGGAGGGGUCACGACAGGCCCCGAGCGGGCGCAUGUACGCGGCCCAGACUGAGGAGGCGGCGGCAGCCGAGAAUGUGGUCGCAGGUAUCAUUUUACUUCAUGGUAUUCGAGUUAGAGCUUUGUUUGAUACCGGUGCAUCGCAUUCAUUCAUAGACCGGCUGUUUGCCGAGUUGCAUGGCAUCCCACUUGUAUCCUUGUUGCAUCCUGGACGAGUUGUUGUACCCGACCAUUCUUUGGACAUCCAAGAGUUUUGCCCCAGUUGCCCUGUUCGGGUUGGAAAUUGGAUCAUGCCCGUAGACUUGCUAGCUUUGCAUAAACUCGGGGAGUUUGAUGUUGUGCUGGGCAUGGAUUGGUUGACCAAGUACUACGCCACCAUUGAUUGCAAGAAUCGAACGGUGACGUUUAGAGAGCCGGGGCAGGCGGAGGUUGUGUACCGAGGAUGCCAGAGUUCGCUGUUUGCGAUGACGAUUAGCUCUUCUCGAGCUCGGCAGUUGAUUAGUAGAGGCUGCGUAGCCUACUUGGCUACUGUUGUGUUGCGGGGUGAGGAUGACACCCCUAGGAUUGAGGAUAUCCCCGUAGUGCGGGAGUUUGGAGAUAUGUUCCCAGCGGAGCUUCCAAGCAUGCCACCUGAUAGGGAGAUUGAGUUUGUGGUAGAUCUCGUUCCCGGGACUACUCCAAUCUCAAAGGCACCCUAUAGGAUGGCACCAGCAGAAUUGAAGGAGCUGAAGGCACAGUUAUAGGAUCUUCUGGACAAGGGUUUUGUGCGACCGAGUGUGUCACUUUGGGGAGCACCGGUUUUGUUUGUGAAGAAGAAGGAUGGAUCACUACGCUUGUGCGUGGACUAUCGUGAACUUAAUAAAGUCACGAUCAAGAACAAGUAUCCAUUACCGAGGAUUGAUGAUCUAUUUGAUUAGCUCCAGGGAUCUUGUGUAUAUUCCUAGAUUGAUUUGCAGUCGGGAUACCACCAGUUGAUGAUCAAACCUGAGGAUGUGUCGAAUACGACUUUUAGAACACGGUAUGGAUAUUAUGAGUUUACCGUUAUGCCGUUUGGGCUUACUAAUGCUCCGGCAGCUUUUAUGGAUUUAAUGAACCGUGUUUUCAAGCCUUAUUUAGACAGGUUUGUCAUGGUGUUCAUCGACGACAUUUUGGUCUAUUCCCGAAGUGAUGUGGAUCACGAGGAACACUUGAGACUUGUACUUCAAGUGCUUCGGAAAAAGAAGCUCUAUGCCAAGUUGACAAAGUGUGAGUUUUGGCUUAGAGAGGUGGCGUUUUUGGGCCAUGUGAUUUCAGGAUCAGGGAUAGUUGUGGAUCCAAGGAAAAUUGAAGCUGUCAAGAAUUGGCCGAGGCCGACGAGUGUGACCGAGAUACGGAGCUUCAUUGGUUUAGCCGGCUACUACAGGCGGUUCGUUGAGGGAUUUGCAAAGUUAUCUACCCCCCUCACGAGGCUCACGCAUAAAGGCACCAAGUUCAUUUGGAAUGAUGCGUGUGAAAGGAGCUUCCAAGAGUUGAAGCAGAGACUGACUACCGCCCCGAUCCUAACCUUGCCGACUGCCGGAGCAGGGUAUGUGAUUUAUAGUGAUGCUUCUUUUAACGGAUUGGGCUGUGUUUUGAUGCAGGACGGGAAAGUGAUCGCGUAUGCAUCUCGCCAAUUGAAGGAUUAUGAAAGGAAUUACCCCACUCACGACUUGGAGUUGGCGGCCGUGGUUUUUGCAUUAAAGCUAUGGCGCCAUUAUUUAUAGGGCGAGCGGUGCGAAGUAUAUACGAAUCACAAGAGCUUAAAGUAUUUAUUCACUCAGAAAGAGUUGAACUUGAGGCAGCGCAGAUGGUUGGAGCUACUCAAGGAUUACGACCUGACGAUUCUUUACCACCCGGGCAAGGCUAACGUGGUGGCGGAUGCGCUAAGUCGGAAAUCGACGGAGAACUUAGCGAUGCUUGUGGUUACUCAACUGCCGUUGAUCAAGCAGAUGAAGCGGCUGGAGUUGGAGGUGGUGGCUCCUGAUACACCUUUGAGACUUAUGACUUUGGUGGUGCAAUCUACACUUAUAGAAAAAAUUAAAGAAAAGCAAGUCUCCGAUGUUGAGUUGCAAAGGAUUCAAGCUAAGAUGGUUGAUGGUUGCACCGGUGAUUUCACUUUAGACGGUGAUGGAUUGAUGCGUUUCCGCGGACGACUUUGUGUACCGGCGGUGUCACGACCCGCGACCACCCGCCUAUUUGGCCGAGGUCGCGACGUCGACAGCGCAGAACGAACAGGGUUUCCCCUGUACUGCGGACAGAGUCUCCCCUGUACGUUCAAGGCAUCGCAAUCAAUACAAUACAAAGGUUCCAAACAGGAACAAUAUCAAUCAAGAUUGCAAGUGGAAGGUAUCAUACAACAUAAACACAUCCUAAGUUAUUACAUUCAUUCACUUUCAUAGUUUUUACUCACAAUUUCUAUUCUUUUUCAUCCAAAUGCAAUCUAAGUUAUUACAACAUUUACUUACUACAAGUUUGAUACAUUGUAUUCUUUUCAUUUCCCAUACCUCUAAGCUAUAUCGACAGGGUACUGCUAGCUCUGGUCUCCGGGUAGGGCGCUAUCUAUGGAUCUACGCCCUUUCCUCGCGCCGCUGCGCCGCUCUCGUGCGAACCUGUAACCCCCAAAACAACGUGGGGUGAGAACCAACUCCAUGGUUCCCAGUGGGUACGGCCACCCAAGGGAAAAGCUCGACCAAAAGGUCCAAGGAGGCACUGCAAUCAUGUUAGUCCAAAAACAUCUAUAGAUAUAUAAAUCAUAAUGUUAAUAAGCAACUAACAGAUAACAUGCCUCACAACGUGCAAUAUGAAUAUUAUGCAGUUCUAUGCAAUCAAGCAACCAUUCAGUAGAUCUAUUGAUUCUACAUUCAGCUUUACUAACUUUAGCUCAUGUCAUUUAGCCUCUAAGGUUCUACUACCUUAGCUCACAACUCAAGUUCACAUUGCCUCUAAGGUCUCUAUUACCUUAGUUCUUACCAUUAUCACUAGCUUAUAAGGUUUCUAUUAACCUAAUCGAGCUAACCACCCGACUCGGCCUCGAGUCAAUCAUCCACGGAUAGUCCGCGCACUGGCCGCACUCUGUGACUUAACCAGCUGGCGGCGAAGUCAUCGCACACGCCGAACACUGGUUCAAGUCCCUCAACUUGGCCACCUGGUGGCAAACGAAUCGCACCUCACCCAACAAUGGCUCAAGUCGAUCUGGCGGCAUAAUCCACAAACUGGCUUAACCAUUCGGCGGCGAAAUCGUUGCACACGCCACGUCAAUGGUUCAAGCCCCGGGCGGUGAUCUCAGUGCACUCACCUCCCAAUCCAUCCUUGGUAUCAACCUCGACGGCGAAAUUGUCGCACACGCCCUAGCCUUGAUACCAAGGUUAUCAAAGAUUCUGGGAUUCCGGAAUCCACUUUUCACAAGUCGAGGGUCCAUAGCCAACCCUAUACCGUCGACCUAGCUCAUCCUAGUGGCUAUACCACUCUACUCAUCAAACUAGGUUUCAAACACUCUAGGUUCUAUGUCCAUGUCACUUAACCUAGUUAUAAAUGCUAGGUUCAUGUCCUCGUAGCCUAGAUGUCCAUUUCUAGGUUUACUAGUUCGACCUAGGUUUACUAACACUAGGUUCGAUGCCACACACCUAGAUUAUUCAAUUCUAGGUUUACGUAUUUAACCUAUGUCCUUUAACACUAGGUUAGAUGCCACUCGAUCUACCUGACAACCUAGUUGUCCACUUAAGCAUUCUACAUUACCAUUUUCCGUUGUCGAGUUUUCUACUCAUUCUAGAUUAUCAAUUCCCUUCAUAUGCAUAUCCUCACAAUGCUACUCAUGUAUUUAUGCAGCUAUCUAGCAUUACAUAGCAUGCAUUAUAUGAUCUAUAUCAUUUAUAUGGACCUACUUAGCAUUUGCAUCAUAUUAUUAACAUGCAUCACUUAGCAUUAGCUACAUGCGCCAUUCACAUGCCUCGUUCACAUUUAUAUGCAUCAACAUGGGUUCUUAAUCAUCUUAGACAUAAAGGUGACCUAGUCGCUUCGGUAAGCACAACCCACCUUAACUCGCGUUCCGAUUGCUCGUCGACACUUGCAAUCGGCCUCCCGCGGCCUCCCGCGGCACUCGGCACUCGUUUGGGCCCGAUCUCACAGUUGCUCUCCAAGAGCGCGCCGCUUCGCCGUCUCAAGUGCUAACGGUCUUCGCCUUGCUGCUACGGUGCUCGGGAUCCAAUCCCAUGAUUUUACGACGUCGCCUCGGCCCUCCCGGCAGACCCGAAGCUUAAACGUCUAUUUCUUUAAUAACUUUGUAACGGCUCGUCAGAUUGCCGAACCGUCUUCGCCAACGCGUUUUGUUACCUAGCAAUUAGGUUUACAGAGGGUUGAAUGAGAUCAAACCCUCAUAUUUGCCAAAACCCCAUUUCGGAGCCCUAGAUUCCAAUUAGGUAAAAACCUAUCUUUAAAUCUCUAGAUUCUAGCAUUAAACAUCUAUUAAGCUUGCUAGGAAUCCAAUUAAACCAUUUCUAGAGAUCAAAACCCUACAUCUAGGGAUUUACCAUGAGAGGGCUAAGGGCUUACCUCUCAAGAUGCUCCAAUAGCAAGGAGGGAGAGAAGAAGGUGGAGUUGAUCUCCUCCUUGAUCUUCUUCUCCUUCUUCUCCUUCCUCUUCUUCUUCUCUUCUUUCUCCCCUUCUUCUUUUUCUUUUGUUUAGAGAGAGAGAGAGAGAAACGUGAGAGAGAGUGAGGGAAUGAGAGAAAGAGAGAGAGAGUCCUCUCUUAACCCCCUCUCAUAUUGUAACAUUUCCAAAUAAGCCCCCCAACUCUUCUAACCUCGCAGUAGCCCGAACUGGGCAUUUUUCGCGUUCGGGGACUGGUCCUUGCGGUGAGGGACCGGUCCCUGAGAGACCGGUCCCCGAAGGUCCAGAAUUCAGCCUCAAGGACUUAGCCAAAUUUUCAGCAUUUUCGCCCGUUUUUGUCCGUUUUAGCUCGUUUGACCUCCGAUUCACUUCAAAUCGAACCGAGACUCUCCAUACAUGUUUUCAAGCAUGUUUUCAUCAUCUUUUCAUCCACGCUAAUGCCGGAUUUAGCUCACGGCCCAACAUAGCCUUUCGGGCUCCGUUUUCGCGCCUAUGCGCACCGAAACGCCCGAAUGCUUCCGAACUUCACCGAACUUCACCGGAACUAUUCGAAUGGCUUUCUAACCAAACGUACACCGUAACUUCAUGAUUUUAGAAGUCCAGUACCUUACAGGCUGACUUGGGUAUUAAAGAGGAUAUUCUUCAAGAAGCACACCGAGCAUCGUAUGCUAUACAUUCGGGAGGCACCAAGAUGUACAAGAACUUGAAGUUGCUUUACUGGUGGCCCGGGAUGAAAAAGGAUGUUGGUGAGUUUGUUGCCAGAUGCUUAACUUGCCAACAGGUGAAAGCUGAGCACCGAGUUCCCAUGAAAAAACUUCAGAGCCUACCGAUUCCAGUGUGGAAGUGGGAAAAGAUUACCAUGGAUUUCGUGAUGGGAUUGCCUCGCUCACAGGCCGGGCAUGACGCUAUUUGGGUGAUCGUGGAUAGGCUGACGAAAUCGGCCCAUUUCAUACCUAUCCACACUAUUUAGACUGGUGAGAGACUCAGAUAGGUUUAUUUGGAUGAGAUUGUGCGAUUGCACGGGGUACCUACUUCUAUAGUAUCGGAUCGAGACCCCCGUUUUGUAUCCCACUUUUGGAGAAGCUUAUAGGAUGAUUUGGGUACGCGCUUGGACUUCAGCACUGCUUUCCACCCCCAGAGUGACGGGCAGUCGGAGCGUACUAUACAGACUCUUGAGGACAUGCUUCGAGCCUGCGUGAUUGACUUCCAGGGAGAAUGGUUGCAGCAUCUACAGAUGGCAGAGUUUGCUUAUAACAAUAGUUAUCAAGCAAGCAUCAAGAUGGCACCUUUCGAGGCACGUUAUGGAUGGAAGUGUAGAUCGCCACUUCAUUGGAGUGAAGUUGGCGAGAGAUUGGCUUUAGGCCCAGAUGUGCUCCAGAAGGCCGAGAACAAGGUUCGCAUUGCGCGGGAGCGACUGUUGACAGCCCAGAGUAGGCAGAAGAGCUAUGCUGAUCGGCGUCGACAAGACUUGAAGUUUCAAGUUGGAGAACACAUCUUCUUGAAAGUCUCGCUGACUCGAGGGAUUAGAAGAUUUGGAACCCGGGGUAAGUUGAGCCCCCGAUACUUUGGACCGUAUGAGGUUUCGGAGCGUGUAGGCCCGGUAGCGUAUAGACUUGCUCUACCGCCGAACCUAUCGGGUGUGCACAAUGUAUUCCAUAUAUCGGUCCUUCGGAAGUACAUCCACGACCCGGCUCAUGUUUUAGACGCUACGCUUUUGGAGCUGAGAGAGGACUUGAGCUUCGAGAAACAACCUUUAAGGAUUUUGGCUCGCGAAGUGAAAAGAUUGCGGAACCGGGAAAUUCCCUACGUGAAGGUGCUUUGGAGCAACCACGACGAGCGCGAGGCCACUUGGGAGUUGGAGAACGCACUGCGGGGCGCUACCCCAUCUUUUUCAGAUGGAGGCUUGAGGUACUUUGUCUUUUUCGAGUUUCGUGGACGAAACUCCUUUUUAUGAGGGGUGAAUGUAGUACACUGGACCUUUGCAAAUUGCGAGGUUCGAGUGUUCGAGCUGUGUUCUGAGUCCUUCCAGACUUUCUGGUGGGUCGUUGACAGUGCUCCGACCUAUGGCUCGUAUUCCGAGAAUUGUGGUUUAAAGCUGUGUACCAAAACCCAAAAAAAGGGGAUUUGGCCAACUCUCGGAUAGCAAUCUGGAGGUCUUGUACCGGUACAAGGUUGGUGGUUGUACCGGUACAAGGUUGAUGGUUGUACCGGUACAGCCACCGGGCUUUUACCGAUACAGAGCGAUUGAACCCCGCCAACCCGAGCCUUGGGUUUGUGAUUUUCAUGGGACUUGUACCGGUACAAGGGCCCGUGUACCGGUACAAGGUGGCAGAAUUUGAGCAGUUUGAACUGCAGGGGUGUUUUUGCGAUUGUGGGUCUCUUAUAUCAACACCCACGCCCCUAGGGCUCUCCUUUGAGCUCACCACUGCAGGGAGAAAGGUAGGGCACCUCUCCCCUUCACCCCCUUUGGAUUUGAUCUCUUUUUAGCUUGGGAUUUAAGUGUUAAUCCAUCUCUUUUCCCUUUUGGUGCAAUUCCACCAUUGUUGAAGCUUGGAGCUUGGAUUUGGAGCUUUGUUGAGGGGAGAUCUUGGCAUUUAGAGAGUUUAGAGCUUGGAUUGAAGCUUCUAAGAGGUAAUCUACUUGUUCUCUCCCUCUAGAUUGGAUUUUUAUUGGUGGUUUUGAGAUGAAACCCUAGAAUGGGGUUUUAGGGCUUAUUUUGGGCAUUUUGAAUUUAGGACUUUUGGAGCUAAAUUAAUUGGAUUAGAAUCUUCCUUUGGGUUGGAUCGGAAGGAUUCUAGCUCUCUUUAGGAGCUUGAGGGAGAUUUUCUACACAUUAGGUGAGUUUUAUCCCUUUUGCCUUGUUGGUUAUGUUUAAUUUUAUAGUUGAUCGUAAUGCCCGUGUAUCUCUUCGCUCAAUACUUUUAGGGUAUUUUGAGACUUGUGGAUAACUUCGUUUGGCGAAACGAGACACUACGCGACGGUUCGGUGGGUUUGACCUAGCCACACAAUGAGAAAAUCUCAUUUGUGAAGAUUUGAGUAUUGUUAAUUGAAAAAGCAUGCAUAUUCAUAUUAGAUAUAUUUAUUAUGAAUUUUAGAAUGCUUAACAUGCAUACGUUAUGUAUAGUAAAUUUUGGACCUCUAUGUGGUUGGGUGCAUGCAUGUGGAAUGUAGCAUUCUAGUGGAAACUUGGGACCAUGAUUCCUAUUAUGAAAAUGAACAUUGCUUUCUUGCAUUUAACCUUAUGCCUAAUUGUGACAUUAGGGACUUUGGAAGCCUAGAGAGGCUUGGGGACUGAGGCUAUUUGAGGUUUUGGGCCGAUGUCAUAAAGAGGCAUUGGGCCCCGGGCUAUAGUGAAUAUUGGUAUUAACGUCAUAUUUGGAACAUAGAACAUGAAUUGAGCUUUACUAGUUGUGAUGCUUAAGUGUCAUAAAGAGGCACUAAGCAAGUGAGUGUUGAGAUAUCAUAUUGUGACAUAGAGCUAGACCGUUGGGUUACUAGUAGCUAUUGCCAUGUUUGAGACAUGAGGGUUGGAUACUUGAGCCUUUGACUACGCUUGCUUGCCAUUUGUGCUCAUUCGCACAUGCUUGUGAGGGUCGCUCCCUACAAGCCGGCACUCCGGAGUUAGCCUACGCGACUUAUGUUCGCUCGUGCGGUAUUUGAGUGGCUACACGGUGAGUGGAAAAGACAUUCCAGAUAGGGAUGUUUGUACCAAGUACUAGCGCCAGUAGAACUAACUUGUAGGUCCCUAAGUUGGAAAAUGGAAAUUGAAUCUGUUGUUGUGGUAAUAUAAGAUAGAGGUCGAGUUGAUUCUGGUUGCUUCUAGCAUAGUUUUGAACCUUGAGUAUACUACAUACCAUGUAUCUAGGAGUAUGUGACUUAUUCUCCCAUAUUACAGUGUUCAUAAUACAUAUCUUAUAAAUUCAUAAAGAAACCGUGAAAUUUAACUGUGGAUGUUGGACAUAUAUUACGCAUUGAACAUUCUCUUAAUAAACAGUAAAUUUAACAUUGACAUCGUAAUGUUUAUGGUAUAGGUAAAACUAGAUAAACAUGCAUAUUUCAUACGCUUAUUUAUUUGAUGUUUACCGUACUUAUUCUUUGGCCUAGUGUGCAUUGACUUGAGGUAGUAAUUGCCACUGAAUAAUAAAUUUAGUUCUCAACCCUCUGUUUAUGUUUUCUUUACGAGCAUUCCAACGCAGGAGAGCUAGGGAGUGAAGGCGUUGUUUGACUAGCUCUAGCGGAGUGCGAGUUGCUAGGUUACUUGAAUAUUUUAUUUUGAAGGUGAGAGUGUACCAUUGUAUAGGAUGACCCUUUUGUUACUUUUUUUGGACAAUAUUUAUCUUAUUAUUUCAUUUUGUUAUAGUAUACUUUUCCUAGUGUAUGAAAUUAAUUUUGCUCUGAUAUUCUAGAUGUUGUUUUUCUUUGGUUAUUUUUCGGCUGUGUUGAGACGCCUUAUAUGUGGUUACUAUGGGGGUCUGGGCACCUACGGAGGCCCUGCGGUCCGGCGUGACAGGUCUAGCUCCCUUACCAAAGGGAUGUCUUCUUGCUAAGAAUAUGGAAGAGAGAAAGAGACGUUGAGGUUGGGUUAAAAACUCUGAAUUAUAUAUAGGAAUAAAAUCUAUUCUAAAUAAUAUAAUGAAUAGGAUAAGUAUAUAUCUAAGAUUUAAUUUUCCUUUCGCUAAGGUUAAUCGAUCACAUCUAAUUUGAUUCGACUUGAAUUUUAAUAUUAAUUUGACUUAUUUCAUUAAUGAAUGCACAUUUGCCCAUCUCUAUAAUAUUACUAAAUUAUAAGCUCUCGCUUAUAACUUAUACACUUUAAUACCACUAAUUUGUAACAAUUACAAAUUACUCCAAUUAUCAACAUAUUGACAAUUAGGUCCUACUGCGAUUCAAUAAUCGCGAUCUAGCUAUCCGAUCAAUCACAACCAUUUAUGUGUGUGACCCCAUAGGUUCUAUUCUAACUGGUAGUGAGAUAUAUUUUGAUCACUAUCAACAAUAUCACGGAAACUCCUUUCGGUAGAUCGGAACAAUUCCAACUCUGCCCAAUGAGAAUUAUCGAUCAUCUAGAUAAUUCUCAUGAGUCUCACAAUCCACCAGUGACGCCUAGCAGCAUGUAGUGGCAUUCCAGUAGAAUGAAAUACUGAACCUCUUGGUGCAGUUAUCGUGUGAUACAAUCCUUCUAUCAUGAGUCCCGACAAGACGGAGGUUAUGGAAUAACUCGUCAAACCCCAUCGCCUAUCAUAUAUUAAAUUCAUUCGACUCGAGUUUCUAAUAUCAGAAACCUUUUUCCGCUAUUAACUCUGCCCUGGUCAAGGUCUUCUAAACUCGGUCUCAUAAAUCAUAUAGGACUAACACCCCUAUCUACCAAGUGAGAUAGAUUCCAUCUAAGUGUGCACCCUAUUCCUACAAUAAACCUACUGUAGCCAACAUGCACCGCAAGGACCCGAAUGGCUAGGGACCAAGUGUAUGUACAGUCAAACUACAGUAACCUCAUUGUGAAUAGCCGAGGCACCGCAGGUCAAAGUACUAGUCACAUUACUGCAACAUUGAAUAAGUCACUGACGAGUGAGUAGACAUCCAAGUGACUUCUCGGGAUGGUCACGCUCGGUACCCUUGUUCUCUAACAACCACCUGCAUAUUCGCUUCAGUGUCCCUACAUUGUCGACUCGAGACCCGUCUACCCAAAAAGGAAGCGACCUAUGCACCAAUCUCACCGGAUCAAUCACCGCCCCCGUGAUGGUCCAUUGAUUAGGAGCAUUUAGGAAUUAACCACCAAUGACACAUGUCUCAAAUUCUCAACUCUUGAGAAUAUAUGUCAUCAUCUUAUUAAUUCCUUGGACGAUUCACGGACACAUACACAACAUGAAUGGAAAUAAAAACCCAAAUUUAUUCAUAAUAUUUUAAAGUCAAAUACAAAUUUAUAUCCUAGAAAGAAUACAUGUGUCAGCCUGGUUGGCUUCUAGGGCAUACAUCUAACACCAUAUAGUAUUACGAUGUCAAGGUUUAUCAUUUAUUAACCCAAAUGUCACUACAUGACGUUCAUGAUUACUAUGUCAAGUAACAGUUACUAGUUCAAAUGCACACAACCAUUGCCAUUAUCCUAUCUAGGAUAGUUCACUUUUGUCCAAGUCUCAAUGAGAGUUCACACUUAGUCUAUUCCACUAAAGCUAAGGAAGCCACUUUCUUAUGGUGUAUGCAUAGUUACCACAAAUUAUUUAUAAUGCUCAUGAUGCAAGCCAUGCACAUAUAUCUUCCUACCCAUACAUCCACCUUAUGGAGUAAUAACAAUUAUGCGAGUGCUUUCAUUCAAUAAUGCCAUAUGCAAAUAUUCAACUAGAAUGAAUGUUCCAACUUGGUUUCUUAUAGAUCUUACAUGUACUACGUUACCAUGUCCCAACUACUUGCCUACAACAAGUGUGAUAUUGUCAUGCAAAUAUAUGCAAAUGAAUGUUCCAACUUGGUUUUCUCUCUUUUGUGUUUUGUUGAGAGAGAGAGAGAUUUUGUAUCCAUGUAUAGAGACCACCUCUGUAUUACAUUCAGUUUUUGUACUCGGGUUUUGUUAUUGUACUACCUUAUGGUUUUAUUUAGUGGAUCUAGCUCUUUACUUAUUUUCUUUUCCUUGUCAUAGAUACUAGAUGUUGUAUACUCUGAUAUCUCUAGAUCUCUUCGUGCUGUUGCUUUAUUUAUUACCUUAUUGUAGACGCCUUAUAUAUUUUAGACGUAUGGCGGGUCUGGACACGCGCCGGGCGGGCUUCCGCUGGGUCCCGGGGCGUGACAGAUCAUGUCCAUGAUGUUCAUAAUGCUACAAUAAGUGACGAUACAUCUCAUUACUAUUCUAACCAUACAUUAUGCCAAUCAAUAUAAGUGUAACAUACUACCACUAGGGUGUCAAUGCUAACAAUGACUAACAUAAGGUCCACAUAUGCACUAUCAUGCAUGUCCACUAGUCCAACUGAUAUACAUCAUCUAGUAGUAGUUUUCACAUUACACUUUAGGUUUCAUAGUUCAAUCCUCAUCAUGGAUCUACACGUGUGUAGUCCGGCUUGUGCCGUGCCAAAAAUGGCCCCAUAGUAGUCAAUAUUCCCACUCUAGGAAUGAGCCUCCCCCACGGCAUCCCAUUUCGGCGCCCAAUCCUGCACGGGCGAGCUUGUGUCACAUAGGCUAUCUCCGGAGUGCCAGCUUGUGGGGAGCGACCCUUACAAGAAUGUGUGAAUGAGCACAAAGGCAAGCAAGCGUGAUCAAUAGUAUCCAGCUCUCGGUCAUCAUGUCUAAAAUAUGGAAUACGUGGCAACGACCCCAAAGGUCCCAUAUAGUAUUACGAUGUCAAGGUUUAUCAUUUAUUAACCCAAAUGUCACUACAUGACGUUCAUGAUUACUAUGUCAAGUAACAGUCACUAGUUCAAAUGCACACAACCAUUGCCAUUAUCCUAUCUAGGGUAGUUCACUUUUGUCCAAGUCUCAAAGAGAGUUCACACUUAGUCUAUUCCACUAAAGCUAAGGAAGUCACUUUCUUAUGGUAUAUGCAUAGUUACCACAAAUUAUUUAUAAUGCUCAUGAUGCAAGCCAUAAACAUAUAUCUUUCUACCCAUACCUCCACCUUAUGGAGUAAUAACAAUUAUGCGAGUGCUUUCAUUCAAUAAUGCCACAUGCAUAUAUUCAACUAGAAUGAAUGUUUCAACUUGGUUUCUUAUAGAUCUUACAUGUACUACGUUACCAUGUCCCAACUACUUGCCUACAACAAGUGUGGUAUUAUCAUGCAAAUAUAUGCUAAGUCUCAUUCAUGCACAUGUCCAAGUCAUAUAGUUAUGCUAUCGAUCUCAAGAUCAACACCUUGUUAGUUACUAGGUCACAAUGCCCUAUUUCCUUGUCUACACAAGUAUAUUAUUUGUAACAUACCAGAUUUUGGUAUAAAAAAAAAUAAAAAUAAAUAAAAAUAGUGUGAGAAACUAUUUUUAUUGGAUUUAUAGAAGUAAAAUAUAAGUUAGAAGUGACUUGUGCUGAAAUCGAAAUGAAAAUAGAAGAUCUAGAAUUUUCUGUUGGAAACGAGACAGAUAAAUUAGCAGAAAAUGCAGUCUCAGAAAAUUAUGAAAAUUGGAGGAUAAGUCAGAAAUAUUUUUAUGAGGCUAGAUUUAAGGUUUCAUAUUUUUCUGACACCCGUAGAGUGAGAAAUAAAAUCCAACAGCUAUCUGAUAAAGAUUACGGUUCGGUACAGUUUUCAGUGACCAAACGAGGUCGAAACUGAAAACAUAAGAUAUAUUCUCACUCAGUACGUUAAACCGAGGUUGUCUGUCAAAUUUGAGCCCAAACGAACAUUCAGAAGGGCUCCAACUGUUCCGAACUACUAAACUGCACUGGAAUGAAUAACGUUGUGGUGUUGACAAAAGAGGAGUGUUGACUCUUCUUCUUUUCCUUCAGCCGCACACACGCCACACACACACACGCGCGCAUGGAGGGGGAGAGGGAAACCCUCCCUUCUCUCUCUAAAUAUCUCUCUCAUCUCUCUAAAUCUCUCUCUAAAAAUUGGAGGGUUGGCAGAGAGCGAGCUUGCGAACGCGUUGGAGGCGACGGAUCGAGCUUUCGUACGCCCGUUGGAGCGGCGUGGUUUCGUCGCGGCGUUCACAUUUUGGUAAGCUUUUGGAAUUUUGUUUAAAUCCUUCAUGAAUGAUGUUCUAGUAGUAUCUAGAGUGUUCUAAACAUGCUCUCUCUAUUUAAUUUGGAUUAUUUAGAGGUUAAUUACAUGUUAGGGCUCCGAAUGGGGUUUUGUAAAAUAUAAGGGUUUGAUCUAAUUUGACCCUCCGUAAACCUAAUUGCUAGGUAAACGAACGCGUUGGCCAAGACGGUUCGGCGAUUCGUCCAGCCGUUGCAAAGUUAUUAAAGAAACGGAUGUUUAGGCUUCAUUUCCGCCUGGAGUGUAAGGAAGUGGAUUCUCGAAAUCCGAGAAUUGUACUUCAUACAGGAUCGACUAACCCUAUCGAGAGAAUGCCCUUUGUGGGAGUUAAGAAUGUCCAAAACACAAGAGGUGCUUUGGAGUUGAGUCCACGAGAGCGAAUGAUGCAAACUGCAUCAUUGGGCAGAUGUUACUCUCGGGGACCGGUCUCUAGAGGUGAGAGACCGGUUCCCUUGGCUGGGUGUAGCGGGGUUGCUUGAUGCAACUGGUCCCUGGCAGGGAGGGACCGGUUCCUGAACGUGGUCCCAGCGAGAAAUGCCGAAAUUUGGCUAAGUCCUGAAAAUCGAGCUCUCGGGGACCGGUCUCUCGGGCCAGGACCGGUCUUCCGAGGACCGGUCUCCCGGGGAGAGACCGGUUCCCGAACGCGUGCGCCCGAGGGAGGCCCUCGGGGACCGAUCCCAAGUCGGGGAGACCGGUCCCUCCGCGCGAACUCUGCCCAGUAAGGGCUGUGCAGUGGAUAGAAAGUUGAGGGGUUUUUAUACAAAAUGGCCUUUAUUAGAGUGGGUUGGGCCCUCUCUCUCCCUCACACUCAUCUCAUUUCCCUCUCUCACACUCUCUUUCUCUCUUGCUCUCUCUCUCUAGAAAGGAAAGGAGAAGAAGAAGAACAAGAAGGAGAGGAAGGAAAAGAAGAGGAAGAACAAGAAGGAGAAGAAGGAGGAGAUCAAGAGUAAGGCUUUGGACACCUUCAUCUCCCUCUCCUCUUCUCUUUGGUGUAGCACAAGAGGUAGGCUCUUGAGCCCUAGCUUCUAAACUUUGGAGUUUUGGGUUUUCAUGCUUUGGAAUGGGUCAAAUAGACCCUAAGCAUGCUUCUAAAUAGAUCAAUCCCAUGAUUCUAGAGAUUUAUUGGUGGUUUGCUAUAGGUGCAAACCUAGGGCACCAAAAUGGAGUUUUUGUAAAAGUAUGAGAUUGAUCUCAUUUGAAGCCUUGGAAACCCUAUUGUUAGGUCACAAAACGUGGGGGCGAAGUCGGUUUUGGCAUUCGGCGAACCGGCGUGAAGUUCUCGGCAAAAUAGGGCCGGGCUAGUGUUGACUUGGGCAAGGAAGGCUAAAGCCUUUUCGUAAAGUUCGCCGAGAAGAAUUUCCGAGGCCUCUACAUCGAUUAAAGGUGGGGGGUGCGAUCCCGAAGCUUUCAGACUCCUUUCUAUGUCUUAGAUUGCAUUUAAUAUCAGCUCUUACAUGUUGCAUUGUAGGAUUGCAUAGUAGCUCAUUCCUUAUGCUUUCUAAAUAAUAACCUAGUGUACUUGGAACGCUUGGUGACGUAGAUAGGUGAGGAUUGGGUCGGAACGUGGAUCCUAUGAUGCGAAAGACAAGAGGUGAACCCGAUAGGGGUAUUGAUGACAUAGAAAAUAGUGCUAAUGUUAAAGAACAAACGAGUGACAUCCAAAUGUUAAAUGAUAACGAGUGGCAUUAAUGUAGUGUAAACAACACUAGAGGUUUGAGAACCUAGGGAUAGGUGGAUCCCUUAGAAAAUGCCUUGUGGAUAAAGAACUUAGUAAACCUAAGUAGCCUCACAUGGAGAGGUUGUCGAUGAGUCGAUUGAGACAUUGACCCUAGUGUUAGGGCUUCCUCACUUGGAGCGGAUUGGGAUUGGGUUGUGGACCCUAGUGAUAGUGCUCCGUCACUUGGAGAGGAUUCGAUUGGGUAUAGACUCUAUUUGUAGAGCAUCCUCACUUGGAGAGGACUCGAUUGAGUUGUUGACCCUAGACGUUGGGCAUUCUCACUUGGAGAGGAUAGAUCUAGCUCACAGUCUGCAUUUGCGGUAGUAUAGCCAUCCAAUCCCCAUAUGGAGGGGAUUGUCGUCAAGUACUCCGGAGUGUCGCGCGACUAGGACUACUUGGAGGUCCGGACCACAUGGAGGUCCGCAGACGGUCCCGGGCUUGGGUGCACUUGGAGCUCCCUCCCCACUUUGGGAUUGAAGGGUGAGUUAUAGGCGAGCCCUAGGGCCUCGCCAUAGAUUGGGUAAAUGAAAAGGUUAAAGGUUUAAUAAUGUCAUUGAACAUUGCUAUUCGAACAUGGGUCGAAUUUGUUAGCAUGGUAGCAAACCUUUAUUAUAUGAUGCAUGCAUUCAUAUUCAUGAUUAUGGGCAUAGUAGCAUAGUUUUCCUACUAUCGCAUUUACAGCUUUCAGAUACAUAUCUAUCUAUAUAUCUGUUGUUACUUGUGCCCACUUGGACCUAGUGGGGAGAUCGGCAAAGUCGGCGGCCGAGCCCACUGGGAACUAUGGAAGAUAGUUCUCACCCCACUCUAUUUCCAGUGGUAGAUACAGGACUACCGAGNAGGGAGGACCGCGGCAAGGGCAUCGCGCCCGAUCAGUGAGACCGUGGCAGUUAGUAGCUUUCAUUUUUGCAUUAGUUCACCAAUGUAUUGAGAGAGAAUCAUUGUAGGUGAGGACAUGGAGAGCUAUGCACUUUGAGAUGAAAAAUGUAUUCAUUUAAAGAGAAUGAUGUAAAUGGAAAUGAUGAAACUAUUGUAAUAGUUAGUAAAAUACUCUCUUUAUUUCACAUGCUAUAUCUUGAGGAUUACUUGCUCUUUAUAUUGUUGGCACUGUUCGUGCCCUUGUGAAUAUGUAUGUUUAGAAUUUAAUUUUCUGGGUAAAUUCUUGUACACAUUCUUGUUGUUGAGCCUUGGGCAGACAGGGGAGGUGCUGUCCAUUCGGCAAUCUGCCGCCGCGGCCGAAUCGUGCCAAAUUAGUAGUGGUUUCGGGGCGGGGUGUGACAGUUCUUUGUGGUAUCAGAGCAACAAGAGCAAGUAAAGAGAGAAAGUCUAGGAUGACCUAGGAGACCCUAGGUUGAUAAGCCCUAAGGUUAUAGGUGCGUGAGCGGAACGUGAACCUAUAGCGAUGGCGGAAGUUAAGUCGAUUGGGUUGAAGUUGGCAAUAUGUCUCUAGUUGUGAUUAGAGACGGACUCAAGUUGUAGGAGUUCUUGUCUUGAGGUGGUUGUGUUGGCGGUCGAUGACAUGAUGCCAAGAGAUUAGAACAAGUGCACUUGUGUGCUUCCGCCCGAUUUUUGUUGUUGAGUCGUCAAGUGACAUAAUUGUGACGAGGCAAUUGGUUAAGAUAACUGACCGAGUAUCUGCAUUUCAGGGACUAAUGUCUCCAAGACGCUACACGCGUAGAUCUGCCCCAGCACCGAUUCCUGAGGUGCCCGAGAAGAAGGAACCGAACGUGAUCGAUCGGUUGCAAGCGCAGGUGGCCGCACUGACCAACGUGGUGCAACACCAGGAGACCCGAUUCGAGCGGCUCUGGGAUCUUUUGGAGCAGCAGAUUGCAGUGGCGGCCGCGAUGGUGAAUGAGGGCGGUGGUCCGCCCACACCCUCGACUCAUAUACCCGUGGCGGCAGAGGGUGAGGGCAUAGCGGCGGUUCCGGUGACGGCACGCCCACCGCCAGCGAUCGUACCACAGGCGGCAUCGGGAUCGGCUACACCCGAUGUGGCAGCCGAAGACGUGGAGGGAGAGCGCGCAUUGGCGGCUCUUAUCAAGUUCAACAAGUUCCAUCCGCCAACCUUCGAGGGCGAGAAGGUGGAACCGGAGAUGGUCGAGUCUUGGAUUGACUCGAUGGAAACCUUCUUCGAUGAUUUACGUACCUUAGAGAGGGACAAGGUGUACCUCGCCACCCAUUGCUUGGAGAAGGCGGCGAAGGUUUGGUAGAAGCGCGUCAAACGGGAUCGGCUUCCCGGCCUUCCGCCAAUGUUGUGGGAGGAGUUCAAGCAGGAGAUGUUUGCUAACUAUUUUCCCGACACACUGAAGCCGAAGCUCAAGGAGAAAUUCCGCAAGUUGGAGCAAGGGGACCGCUCAGUGGCGGAGUAUGAACAAGAAUUCUCCCAUAUCAUUGAUUGUGUCCCGGAUGUUGCAAAGGAUGACCGGGACUGGGCUGAGUGGUUCUUACGAGGACUUCAGCCGGGAAUUUACAAGGCCGUGCAAAUACUCAAGCUCACAACCUUUGCGGAGGUCUUUGAUCGAGCCCUAUGGGCGGAGCACGGAGACGCCCACGUUCGGGAGAAGCGUGAGCUUUUGGCGGAGUCCAAGGACAAGGGCAAGAAACGCCAAGGUGGCGGUAGUUCGGGGGGACAAACACGUUACAAGAAACCCCUGAAGUAUCCGCGCACUCAACAGAAGGGCGGUGGAGCGCGGCGUUGCAUCGUGUGCGGCGGAGACCACCCGGUCUCGCGCUGAGCAAGGCCGAGGCAAGUGCUACAAGUGUGGGCAACUGGGGCACUUCAUUCGGGACUGCCAGGGAGGAGGAGCCUCACCUGCCCCAUCAAUUGCAUCGGUGCCGGCGAUUCCGGCUCACUAUGGAGGAGCUCCACCCACGGCCGCGUCGACUGGACGCGCGAUGAUGCCGCGUCAACAUGAAGCAACGCGAUCGGCCCCGAGUGGACGGGUGUUCGCCGCUCAGGUCCAAGCUGAGGAACCUGCGGAGGCGGAGGAGCAUCGCCUUGUGGCAGGUAUGGUUUUAAUUAACGGAGUUCGCUCCAGGGCUUUAUUUGAUACAGGAGCCACGCAUUCAUUCAUAAGUAGAUCAUUCGCACGCAUGCAUGGCAUACAUAUAGAAGCGAGUGACAAGUGGCGAGUGGAGGCCCUGGGUCGACGUUUAACACUUACUCGGAGUAUGCGUCGUGUCCCGUACAAAGAGGCGACUGGAUUAUGCCUAUCCGGACACUGGAACUCGCAAAGCUUGAGGCUUAUGACGUCAUUCUGGGUAUAGACUGGCUCUCGAAAUAUCACGCAAUGAUCGACUGCAAGAGUAGGGUGAUCACAUUCUGUGAGCCAGGACAGGAAGAAUUCAUCUAUCGGACUUGUCAGAGCUCGUGCUUCGUCGCGACGGUGUCGGCGACGAGAGCAAGGAAGUUGGUCAACAGCGGUUGCACGGCAUUCUUGGCAACUAUUGUGGAGGUGGAGCGAGUAGCCCCAAUGUUAGAGGAGUUAUCCGUGGUGUGGGAGUUCCCGGAUGUGUUUCCUACGAAGUUGCCGGGGAUACCACCGGAUCGGGAGAUCGAGUUCGUCAUAGACUUGGUUUCCGGUACCGCACCGAUCUCGAAGGCUCCGUACCGAAUGGCGCCGGCGGAAUUGAAGGAGUUGAGGAGUCAAUUGCAAGACCUCCUCGACAAGCAAUUUAUCCGGCCAAGUGUAUCACCGUGGGGAGCCCUGGUGUUAUUCGUGAGGAAGAAAGAUGGAUCGUUUCGACUCUGCGUGGAUUAUCGAGAGUUGAACAGAGUCACGAUCAAGAACAAGUACCCACUACCCCGAAUCAACGACCUGUUCGAUCAGUUGCAAGGGUCGUGUGUGUACUCGAAGAUAGAUUUGCAAUCCGGCUAUCACCAGCUGAAAAUCAAGCCGAAGGAUGUGCAGAAAAUCGCGUUCCGCACGCGGUAUGGACAUUACGAAUUCACGGUCAUGCCAUUUGGACUCACAAAUGCUCCAGCGGCAUUUAUGGAUUUAAUGAAUCGUGUCUUCAGAGAGUAUUUGGAUCGGUUUGUCGUGGUCUUCAUAGACGACAUAUUGGUCUAUUCUCGUAGUGACGAGGAACAUGCCGAGCAUUUGAGAAUAGUGCUUCAAGUCCUUCGGGAGGAGAAGCUAUAUGCUAAACUGAAGAAGUGUGACUUCUGGCUCCGCGAGGUCGCCUUCAUAGGGCAUGUGAUUUCCGUAGGUGGAGUUUCAGUAGACCUGAGGAAAGUUGAGGCAAUCAAGGAUUGGCCGCGCCCGACGAAUGUCACGGAGGUUCGAAGCUUCGUGGGCUUGGCGGGCUACUAUAGGCGGUUUGUGUAAGGCUUUUCCAAGAUAGUGAUUCCACUUACCCGCCUGACUCAAAAAGGCACCAAGUUUGUUUGGAGUGAAGAGUGCGACCGGAGUUUUAAAGAGUAGAAGCAGAGAUUGACUUCGACUUCGGUGCUCGCUCUACCGGUGCAGGGCGAAGACUUCGUGGUCUACAGUGAUGCCUCCUAUCUUGGAUUGGGGUGUGUAUUAAUGCAAAGCGGGAAAGUGAGUGCGUAUGCAUCCCGUCAGUUGAAGAGCUAUGAAAAGAACUACCCCAUUCACGAUUUGGUGCUAGCGGCGGUGAUUUUCGCCUUGAAGCUGUGGAGCCACUACUUAUAUGGUGCCCAUUGUGAGAUCUAUACCGACCACAAGAGCUUGAAGUACCUGUUUACACAGAAGGAGCUCAAUAUGCGUCAGCGGCGGUGGUUGGAGCUAUUAAAGGAUUAUGAUGUUGAUAUCCUCUACCACCCCGGGAAGGCAAAUGUGGUCGCGGAUGCGCUGAGUAGGAAGUCGGCGAAGAACCUCGCUUUCGAUGUUACCCAGCAAACACCCCUGUGGCUGGAUAUGGAGCAAUUGGGCCUUGAGGUGGUCGCUCCCGAGGUCCCGACUCAGCUGAUGGCACUCGUUGUCCAACCGACCUUGUUAGAGAGGAUUAAAGAUCUGCAACCCGCAGACCCAGAGCUCCAAAAGGUGCGGCGAAACAUCGAGGAAGGGCAUGGCGGCGAUUUCAAGGUAGACGUCGAUGGUACGCUUCGGUUUCGAAACUGAUGGUGUGUGCCGAAAGAUGGAGAGCUUCGCGAAUUGAUAUUACAAGAAGCACACUGAUCUCCAUAUGCCGAUCACCCAGGCGGCACCAAAAUAUAUCAGGGACUAAGAAUGUAAUAUACCGAAAAUUCGAAAAAUAAAUAUCGAACUUUAGUCAAAUUGACCAAAGUGCGAGGACGGUACACUUCGGAAAGUCCGAAGGUGUUAAAAUGAUCAAAAGUGAGUUACGGAAGGUUUUCGAGAGCUAAAGAAUCAAAUUCUGCAAACUGCAGCUUUUGAGCUCUCGGGGACCGGUCCCUGGUGGGAGAGACUGGUCCCCGAACGCGUAUGAAAUGUGACAGCCGAAAAAUCGGCUAAGUCCUGGAAGGACAGCUCUCGGGAACCGGUCUCUGUCUGAGAUACCGGUCCCCCAGAGACCGGUCCCCCAAGGAGGGACCGGAUGCAUUGCGCGCGGCAGCUCUGGCUGCGCAGGGUAGACCUUCGGGGACCGGUCCCUGCUCGGGGAGACCGGUCUCUGCCUGCGAAAACUGCCCAGUUCAGGCUGUGUGAAAUAGAUGAAAGUUGAGGGGUUUGUUAGCAAUUAUGCAACCCAAUAGCUAUGUUAUGAGGGUAAAUGAGAAAUUUCUCUCAUUUCACCCCCUCUCACUCUCUUCUCUCCCUCUCUCUCUCUAGAAGACAAAGGAGAAGAAGAAGAAAGAAAGAAGAGAAGGAGAAGAAGGAAAAGAAGGUGAAGAAGAAGAUCAAGGAGCAAAGGAGCUUCAUCUUCUUCCUCUCUAGUGCAAGAAAAGGAAGCUUACAAGGUAAGCUUUGAACCCUAAUGUAGUAAAACCCUAGAAAUGGGUUUGGAUGACCUAGAAAUGAGUUUUAGUGAAAUGUUUAAAGAGUUUUGAAGCUUUCUUUUGCUUCUAAAGAGAUCAAAACCUUGAUUUGCAUUAGAGGUGAGCUUGGACCACCUCUCAUGGUGAAAUCCAAACUAGGGAUUUGGAAAGGUUAAGAAUGGUUCUAAUGGACUAUUUAGAGUAUAAUGAAGCUACUUUUGCUUCUCUUAGAGAUCAAACCCUAGGUUUUGAUAUACAUUGGAGCUAGGGCACCCAAAUUGGGGCUUUUGCUCAUGAGAGUUUCUAAGUGCAAUUGACCUUUUAAAAACCUAAUUGGGGGUAUUUCCGACGCGUUGGUGCGCUCGGAUAAACGUUACGAAAAGUCAAAGUAAAGUUAUGGGCAAAAUGGCCUAAUAAGGGUUCGUUUUGCCGCAGGUAAAGAACGAAGCAUCUAAAAAUCCCAAGAAAAUCAUCGGAGCACCUUUGAAAGCCUACGAGGUGGGUGGUGCUUUUCAAACUCAUUGAAAUUCUCUCUAUGCCUAAUGUGUCAUUCUUUGAGCAAAUGUUCUAUAUAUUGUUGCAUGCAUUUUAGGGUAAAGUAAUGAUGAAAUGUGAUGAUUGCAUGAUUGUGAGCACAACUUGCAUAAUGAGAUGGUUGAGAACCUAAUAAUGUCAAAACCCUAGAUGUAUGCAUGAGAGAAAAUGUGAGUACCAAAGUGAGCAACAAAACAGAGUGGCACAAUGACAUAGAUCGAGUGGCAUUUGAAAAUGAAAAGUAAAGAGACACUAGAGAUAGUGUGAGGUAAAGAACCAAUGUAAUGUAAAAGAUGCUGAAAAUGAUAAUGCUUAAAGUUAACGCAAUGUGGGAAGUAAAAGAACGUGAAAAUGCUAGAGGUACCAAAAGUAAGAAUGUAAGAAAUAUAAUUGCUAGAGUUAGCAAAAGUAAAGGACAAUGUAAAGAAUGUGAUUGCAUGAGUUGCAACAUAAAGUGAUAUAAUGAACACUAGAGCUAGUGUAAAGUCAAGAUUGAACUUAUAUAUCGAUCCUUUGAGUUAAGGAUAUGAUACAUGCUUGCUAUGAGUUCCGUGCUCGAGCGCGUCGCUCCGCCCUCGGCGAUGCGCUCCGGAGUUAUGCAUCCGGGUUGGAGUAAGCGUAAGGCGGUCCAGCGGGUGAGUUCCUGCGAUGAUGGACUUAAUGUGAAGCAAUUAAUGUGGCGAAGCCCCCGGUUAGCCUUAACGAUUAAGAAAAGAAGAACAAAGAGCACAGAAAUAAGGAACAAAGCACAAAGUAAGUCAAAGAAUUGAAGAUUUGCAUAAUCUGCAUUUAUUUACAUGUUGAGCAUACUUCUUGCUUAUUUCAUGCAUAUUAGAUCAUGUUAUAGAUUGUUACUAUACAGCUUAUUCUUCCUACUAUGGCCUGAGUUAGUCUAGUGGAAAGUCGGUGAUGUUGAGCCGAACCCACUGGGCCGAACUUUGUUGUAGUUCUCACCCCACUAUUUCACACGAGGCCGACCUGAGAGCCGGCGAGCGACCGAGUAAAGUAUCGCCGCCUUAGUAAGAGGCCACCAAAGUUGGGUACAUUUUGUUAGCAAACACCCUUUUGUCAUCUUUGUAUUUGAUGAUUAGCAAUGUGAAGAAAGAAUGUAAAGCUUAUUUUGAAGGUAAAUGUGAUGUAAGAAGGAAAUGAAUGGAAUUAUGUAAUGAAAUGUAAAGAAUCCUAAAUGUAACAGAUGGAUGCAAUGUAUAAUGAUCUAAUAUGAAUCAUACUACUGUGUAGAAGUUUAGUUUUCUAUCUUUCACUAAUGCUACUGCUUACCUCCGCGUAAGCACAUUUGUGUAUGUUUCCGCUAGUGCAAUUCUUGUUUGAAUUUUGUACAUUGAUGAGCCUUGGCGCACAGGGGAAACUCUGUCCGUUCGGCGUCUGUUUGACGUGCUCGGGUCGGGCAAAUUGGCAUCGGUCUCGGGCGUGACAAAGAAUGCACUAUUGGUCGCCGGAAUGGAAGGGUGAUAUUGGAGCGCUUUGUGGCAAAAGUGCUUAACAUGCCAACAAUGAAGGCCGAGCGUCGAUUUCCAGCGGGAAAGCUUCAAAGCCUACCAAUCCCCGUUUGGAAAUGGGAGGAUAUAUCGAUGGACUUCGUGGUCGGCUUGCCUCGCUCAACAGACGGCCACGAUGCAAUUUGGGUAAUUGUGGACCGGUUGACAAAGCCGGCUCACUUCUUGCCGAUCCACACCAUGUGGUCGGGUGACAAGUUAGCGCAGGUAUAUCUUGACGAGAUAGUGAGACUGCAUGGGGUGCCGAAAUCGAUCGUGUCGGAUCGUGACCUCCGGUUCACUUCACACUUCUGGAAGAGCCUGCAGGGAGCCCUUGGCACACGGCUCGACUUUAGCACUGCAUUUCAUCCCCAGACUGAUGGGCAAACAGAGAGAACUAUUCAAACUCUGGAGGACAUGUUGCGAGCGUGUGUCAUUGACUAUAAGGGAAGUUGGUGUGAUCACCUACCUAUGGCCGAGUUUGCCUACAACAACAGUUAUCAUGCUAGUGUGGAGAUGGCACCGUUUGAGGCUCUUUACGGGCGGACGUGUCGGUCUCCUAUACACUGGAGCGAUGUGGGUGAGCGUACAGAGUUCGGCCCCGAUGUUCUGCGAGAAGCGGAGGAGAAAGUCCGCCUUGCUCGCAAGAGAUUGCUCACGGCGCAGUCGAGACAACAAAGCUAUGCGGAUAGGCGCCGUCGAGAUAUAGAAUUCGCGGUAGGCGACCGGGUAUUCUUGAAAGUUUCACCGAUGCGGGUUGUGAAGCGGUUUGGAGUGCGGGGGAAACUAAGUCCUCGAUACAUUAGACCAUAUGAGAUAUUGGAGCGAGUCGGCACGGUGGCCUACUGACUUGCUUUGCCGCCGAAGCUUGCGAAUGUACAUAAUGUAUUCCAUGUCUCCAUUCUCUGCAAGUAUAUUCACGACCCCGAGCACGCGAUGCUAUAUGAACCGCCGGAACUUCAAGGAGAUUUGAGCUAUGAAGAGUUUCUGGUAGGGAUUAUCGCCCGAGAGGUGCGAAAGUCAAGAAAUCGAGAAAUUCCCUAUGUGAAGGUUAGGUGGAGCAAUCAAGAGGAUCGCGAAGCCACCUCGGAACUCGAGGAUCUGAUGAGAAAGCACCACCCUCAUCUAUUUGAGGAGUGAGGUAUGAAUUUAAGUUAAAGUAAUGAAAUGAGUUCGUUUCGAGGACGAAACUCCUUUUAAGGAGGGGAGGAUGUAAGAAAGUGGAUUCUCGAAAUCUGAGGAUUGUACUUCAUCCAGGAUCGACUAACCCUGUCAAGAGAAUGCCCUUUGUGGGAGUUAAGAAUGUCCAAAACACAAAAAGGUGCUUUGGAGUUGAGUCCACAAGAGCGAAUGAUGCAAACUGCAUCAUUGGGCUGAUGUUACUCUCGGGGACCGGUCUCUGGAGGUGAGAGACCGGUUCCCUUGGCUGGGUGUAGUGGGGUUGCUUGAUGCAACCGGUGCCUGGCAGGGAGGGACCGGUUCCCGAACGUGGUCCUAGCGAGAAAUGCCGAAAUUUGGCUAAGUCCUGAAAAUCGAGCUCUCGGGGACCGGUCUCUCGGGCGAGGACUAGUCUCCCGAGGACCGGUCUCCCGGGAAGAGACCGGUUCCUGAAUGCGUGCGCCCGAGGGAGGCCCUCUGGGACCGGUCCCAAGUCGGGGAGACCGGUCCCUCCGCGCGAACUCUGCCCAGUAAGGGCUGUGCAGUGGAUGGAAAGUUGAGGGGUUUUUAUGCAAAAUGGCCUUUAUUAGAGUGGGUUGGGCCCUCUCUCUCCCUCACACUCAUCUCUUUUCUUUCUCUCACACUCUCUUUCUCUCUUGCUCUCUCUCUAGAAAGGAAAGGAGAAGAAGAAGAACAAGAAGGAGAGGAAGGAAAAGAAGAGGAAGAACAAGAAAGAGAAGAAGAAGGAGAUCAAGAGGAAGGCUUUGGACACCUUCAUCUCCCUCUCCUCUUCCUUUUGGUGUAGCACAAGAGGUAGGCUCUUCAACCCUAGCUCCUAGACUUUGGACUUUUGGGUUUUCAUGCUUUGGAAUGGGUCAAAUGGACCCUAAGCAUGCUUCUAAAUAGAUCAAUCCCAUGAUUCUAGGGAUUUAUUGGUGGUUUGCUAUAGGUGCAAACCUAGGGCACCAAAAUGGGGUUUUUGUGAAAGUAUGAGAUUGAUCUCAUUUGAAGUCUUGGAAACCCUAUUGUUAGGUCACAAAACGUGGGGGCGAAGUCGGUUUUGGCAUUUGGCGAACCGGCGUGAAGUUCUCGGCAAAAUAGGGCCGGGCUAGUGUUGACUUGGGCAAGGAAGGCUAAAGCCUUUUCGUAAAGUUCGCCGAGAAGAAUUUCCGAGGCCUCUACAUCAAUUAAAGGUGGUGGGUGCCAUCCCGAAGCUUUCGAACUCCUUUCUAUGUCUUAGAUUCUAUUUAAUCUCAUCUCUUACAUGUUGCAUUGUAGGAUUGCAUAGUAACUCCUUCCUUAUGCUUUCUAAAUGAUAACCUAGUGUACUUGGAACGCUUGGUGACUUCGAUAGGUGAGGAUUGGUUCGGAACGUGGAUCCUAUGAUGCAAAAGACAAGAGGUGAACCCGAUGGGGAUAUUGAUGACAUAGAAAGUAGUGCUAAUGUUAAAGAACAAACGAGUGGCAUCCAAACGUUAAAUGAUAACGAGUGGCAUUAAUGUAGUGUAAACAACACUAAAGGUUUGAGACCUAGGGAUAGGUGAAUCCCUUAGAAAAUGCCUUGUGGAUAAAGAACUUAGUAAACCUAAGUAACCUCACAUGGAGAGGUUGUCGAUGAGUCGAUUGAGACAUUGACCCUAGUGUUAGGGCUUCCUCACUUGGAGAGGAUUGUGAUUGGGUUGUGGACCCUAGUGAUAUUGCUCCCUUACUUGGAGAGGAUUCGAUUGGGUAUAGACUCUAUUUGUAGAGCAUCCUCACUUGGAGAGGACUUGAUUGAGUUGUUGACCCUAGACGUAGGGCGUCCUCACUUGGAGAUGAUUGAUCUAGCUCACAGUCUGCGUUUGGGGUAGUAUAGCCAUCCAAUCCCCACAUGGAGGAGAUUAUCGACAAGUACUCCGGAGUGUCGCGCGACUAGGACCACUUGGAGGUCCGGACCACAUGGAGGUCCGCAGACGGUCCCGGGCUUGGGUGCACUUGGAGCUCCCUCCCCACUUUGGGAUUGAAGGGUGAGUUAUAGGCGAGCCCUAGGGCCUCGCCACAGAUUGGGUAAAUGGAAAGGUUAAAGGUUUAAUAAUGUCAUUGAACAUUGCUAUUCGAAUAUGAAUCGAAUUAGCAUGGUAGCAAACCUUUAUUAUAUGAUGCAUGCAUUCAUAUUCAUGAUUAUGGGCAUAGUAGCAUAGUUUUCCUACUAUCGCAUUUACAGCUUUCAGAUACAUAUCUAUCUAUCUAUCUGUUGUUACUUGUGCCCACUUGGACCAAGUAGGGUGAUCGGCAGAGUCGGCGGCUGAGCCCACUGGGAACUAAGGAAGAUAGUUCUCACCCCACUCUAUUUCCAGUGGUAGGUACAGGGCUGCCGAGGGAGGACCGCGGCAAGGGCAUCGCGCCCGAUCAGUGAGACCGUGGUAGUUAGUAGCUUUCCUUUUUGCAUUAGUUCACUAAUGUAUUGAGAGAGAAUCAUUGUAGGUGAGGACAUGGAGAGCUAUGCAUUUUGAGAUGAAAAAUGUAUUCAUUUAAAGAGAAUGAUGUAAAUGGAAAUGAUGAAACUAUUGUAAUAGUUAGUAAAAUACUCUCUUUAUUUUACAUGCUAUAUCUUGUGGAUUACUUGCUUUUUGUAUUGUUGGCAUUGUUCGUGUCCUUGUGAAUGUGUAUGUUUAGAAUUUAAUUUCCUGGGUAAAUUCUUGUACACAUUCUUGUUGUUGAGCCUUGGGCGGACAGGGGAGGUGCUGUCCGUUUGGCAAUCCGCCGCCGCGGCCGAAUCGUGCCAAAUUGGUAGUGGUUUCGGGGCGUGGCGUGACAUGGAGGGCCGAGGCGAUAUCGUAAACUCAUGAAAAUGGAUUUGAAGCACCGUGGCACAUAACCGAAGACCUUAACUUUCGGAUUGUGGAUUGGAGGCCGUUCGGAUAGUCGCGCGAGAGAUCGGGCCAAACCGGGUGCCGGGUGCGCGGGAGGCCGAUUGAAAGUGUUGACAAGCAAUCGGAAAGCGAUUUGAGGUGGGUUGUGUUUACCUAAGCGACUAAGUCGCCCUUUAUGUCUAAGAAACAUAUGAAUUCAUAUUGAUGCAUGUUAAUAAAAUGACAUAGCUAAUGCGUGUGGACAAUGUGAUGCAAACUGCUAAGUAGAUGCAUAUAAAAUGAUGUAAUAUAGAAAUGCUUAUUGACAUAAUGACAUAGUCUAGAAAUGCUAAAUGUAAUGUGCAUGUUAAUAUGAUAAGAAACCAUGCUAGUGAUAUUUGCAUGAUAAUGCAUUGAUAGUACAUGCUAGUAAGUAAAUGCAUAUUAAUACAUAUGUGUAUAAUGAGCAUGUUGGAUAAGAUUCGUGUACAUGUAGACUCGAGAUGACAAUAGGAUGUCAAGUAGAUCGAGUGGCACUUAACCUAGUGUUAAAGAACAUAGGUUGUGAAUUAAUCUAGAGUCAUGUGAACUAGAUCGAGUGGCACUUAACCUAGUGUUAAAAAACAUAGGUUGUGAAUGAAUCUAGAGUCAUGUGAACUAGAUCGAGUGGCAUCUAACCUAGUGUUAAAGAACAUAGGUUGUGAAUGAAUCUAGAGUCAUGUGAACUAGAUCGAGUGGCAUAUAACCUAGUGUUAAAGAACAUAGGUUGAGAAUGAACCUAGAGUUAAUCGAAUCUAGGUGUGUGGUAUUAACCUAGUGUCGAGAACAUAGGUUGAGAAUUGAGCCUAGAGUUAAAGUAAACCUAGGAUACGUGAUAAAGGCAUUGAACCUAGAGUCAGUUGGACCUAGGGUGAAAAGGACACUGGAUAUAACACACUGGACCUGUGCAAAUUGCGAGGUUCGAGUGAUUGGAUGUGUUUCGAGCUUUUCCACACUUGGUGAAGGGUUAUGGAAUAUUUUUCGAUCCAAAAAGUCCGAAAACUUGAGUUCUGGAUGAGUCCUGAGAGUUUUUACUCUCGGGGACCGGUCCCUGAUAGGAGAGACCGGUCCCCCAGUGAGCAGUGUUGCGCUGUCGGCGAGGCAACCGGUCCCUGGCGGGCGAGAUCGGUCCCCGAGCACGUCUUCACAGUGAGAGACCGAUCCCGCGCGGGGAGAGACCGGUUCCCGAACGAUGGUUUCUCGAGUUCGACACGAGAGACCGGUCCCUUGCAGGGAGAGACCGGUCCCUCUGGGCGAAAUCUGCCCAGACCGGGCUGAUGCAAUUUUGGCUUUUUGAGGGACCUCCUUGGAUUUUGUUACUUUGGAGGGCCUAAAUAGCCAUUCCACCCUCUCCUUUCCUCAUUUCCUUAUUCUCACCCUCUCCCUACACCUUCUAGAGAGAGAAGAAGGAGGAGGAGAAGAAGAAGAAGAGGAGCUUACUUAAGGGAGCUUGGAGCUCAACCACCUUUCUCUCCUUUCCACCUUUGCAAGGCUUGGAGCUUACUUGUAGGGCUUGUUAGUGGACCAAUCCUCAACCCUAGAAGAUUUGGAGCUUGUUUGGAGGCGUCUUGAGAGGUUAGUACUUCGAUUCUACCCUUUGAUCCUUGUUUUGGUAGAUUUUUCUAUAUGGAACCCUAGAAUGGGAUUUUAAGGUUGAUUUUGGAGCUUUUUGAUCUAGGGCUUUUGAGGCUAGAUUUCUUGAGUUAGAACCCUCCUUUGGGUUAGAUUGGAAGGAUCCUAGCCUUCUUUUGGAGCUUGAGAGAGAAUUUCUACUCCCUAGGUGAGUUUUUGCCCUUUUCUUGUGGUUGUUAAUUUAUGAGCCUAGAGUUGCUCGUAACGCUCGUGUCUCUUCGCUCAUUACUUUCAGGGUAUUUUGAGACUCGUGGACAACUUCUUUCGGCGAAACGAAGGACACCGCGACGGUUCGGUGGGUUUGACCUAGCCUGGCAUAUGAGAAAUUCUCAUAUGCUAUGUUUUAUGCUUGUAGAGUAAAAAAUUCAUGCAUUUCUAUGUUAAAUGUAUUUAUUGUGAAUUUUAGGAUGCUUAACAUGCCUAUAUUAUGUGUAAGAAAUUUCGGGCCCCUAUAUAGUAGAGGGCUACCAUGUGGGACUUGUACAUGAUUGGCAUCCUAUUGAGACUUGGAAUCAUAUUUCCUAGUGUGAAAAUGAGCAUUACCUUCAUGCAUUUUAAGCUAUUCCUACUUGAGACUUAAAGGAUCUUAGUAAGCCAUAAAGAGGCAUAUGAUAAGAUUGACAUGUGAGAUCGUGAGCUAAUGUCAUAAAGCGGCAUUGAGCUCGGGUUGUGUGGGAACCUAGUGGAUAGGGCCAUUGAGAGAAUUGGAAUAUAUUUGUACAUCGAAAUGUCUAAGUGUCAUAAAGAGGCAUUAGACUUAGUGAAUGAUAGGAGCUUCACAUUGUGAUCUAGAGCUAGAUCAUUGAGAUGCUAGUGACUAUUACCAUGUUAGAAACAUGAUGAUUGGGUACUUGAGACGAUGAUUACGCUUGCUUGCAAUAUGUGCUCAUUCGCACAUGCUUGUGAGGGUCGCUCCCUACAAACCGGCACUCCGGAGUUGGCCUACGCGACUUAUGUUCGCUCGUGCAGUAUCGAGAAACCUACGGGGUUGGGAGGGAUAGACUCAUUCCUAGAGUGGGAAUGCUGGAGCUACCACCGACACUUAGUGUAAUAUACCGAAAAUUCGGAAAAUAAAGAUGUCGAAUUUUAGUCAAAUUGACCAAAGUGCGAGGACGGUGCACUUCGGAAAGUCCGAAGGUGUUAAAAUGAUUAAAAGCGAGUUACGGGAGGUUUUCGAGAGCUAAAGAAUCAAAUUCUGCAAAACUGCAGAUUUUGAGCUCUCGGGGACCGGUCCCUGGUGGGAGAGACCGGUCCUCGAACGCGUGAGAAAUGAGACAGCCGAAAAAUCGGCUAAGUCCUGAGAAACUAGCUCUCGGGAACCGGUCCCUGCCUGAGAGACCGGUCCCCGAGAGACCGGUCCCCCAAAGAGAGACCGGUUGCCCUGCGCGCAGCAACUCUGGCUGCGCGGGGAGAGCCUUCGGGAACCGGUCCCUGAAGGAGAGACCGGUCCCCACCUGCGCGAACAGCCCAGUCCAGGCAGUGUACAGAGAUAAAAGUUGAGAGGUUUAUUUGCAUUUUUGCAACCCAAUAGCUAUGUAUGAGGGCAAAUGAGAUAUUUCUCUCAUUUCCUCACCCUCUUACACUCUCUUCUCUCCCUCUCCCUCUCUAGAAGACAAAGGAGAAGAGGAAGACAAGGGAAAGGAAGGAAAAGAAGGAAAAAAGGUGAAGAAGAAGAUCAAGAGGUGAAGCAACUUCAUCUUCUUCCUCUCUAGUGCAAGAAAUGAAAGCUUAUAAGAUGAGCUUUGAACCCUAUUGUAGUAAAACCCUAAAAUGGGCUUUGAAUAAACCUAGAAAUGGUUUUAAUGGAUUGUUUAGAGUCUUUGAAGCUUUCUUUUUGCUUCUUUAGAGAUCAAAGCCAUGGUUUAGCUUGAGGUGAGCUUUGGCCACCUCUAAUGGUGAAAUCCAAACUAGGGUUUGGAAUGAGCUAGGAAUGGUUUAGAUGAACUCUUUAGAGUAUAUUGAAGCUACUUUUGCUUCCCAAUGAGAUCAAACCCUAGGUUUGAUAUAUGUAUUGGAGCUAGGGCACCAAAUUGGGGCUUUUGCUCAUGGGUUAUUUUAGUAGAGAUUUUGGGCGUCUGUGUGCCGGGCAGGGAAGAACGAGGAUCCUUAAAAUUCAAAAAAAUCGCGAAGUCACCUAUGAAAGCCCUACGAGUGUGGUGGUGGUGGCUUUCAACUCGUGAACUUCUCUCUAUGGCCUUAAUGUUGCAUUUCAAUUUGGAGCCAUUAUUGUACAGCUUUGUUUGCAUUUGCUAUUUUUAGGGUAAAAGAGAUAAUGAGAGAUUUGUUGUUGUGCAUUUUAUUUUGGAUACAAACUUGCGCUAAUAUGAUUGGAGUAAUCCUAUAUAAAUCGAAAAACCCUAUGCUGUAGUCAUAGAAGAAAAGUAGCAUCGUCCAAAGUGAGCAUAAAAAGCAGAGUGCACUUGUGACAUAGAUGCGAGUGGCAUUUGAAACUAAAGUAAAUGACAUCUAGAUUAGUGUAGCCCAAAGAACCAAAGUGAUGUACAAAGAAUGAUGCAUAAUGACAAUGUGAAAGUUAAAGUAAAGUGAGGCACAUAAGAAUAAGAAUGUAAAGAACAAGAAUCUAAAGUUAGCAAAAGUAAGGAAAUGAUAAAGACACGCAAUCGACUGGCUAGAGUAGCAAACACGUGAAGUGACGUAAAGAACGACUAGAGUUAGUGGUAAAGUCAAGAUUGAACUAAUUCUUUGAGCUAAGGAAUUCGAUCAUCACUUGCAUGAGUUCCGUGCUCGAGGGCGUCGGCUCUCCCCUCGGCGGUGCGCUCCCGGAAGUUAUGCAUCCGGUUGGAGUAAACACGACGAAGGACGGUCCUAAGCGGUGAGUUCCUGCGAUGAAAUGGAUUUAAAUUGAAGCAAGCAAUGUGCGAACCCCGCGGCUUAGCCUUCGAGAUCAAAGAAUAAAGAAUAAAGAACAAAGAUCAAAGAACAAAAGAACAAUAGUAAAAGAUAAAGAACGAAAGAACUGCAUAAUCCUGCAUAUUUAAUGUUGAGCAUAUUCCUUGCUUAUUGUCAGGCAAAUAUUAGCAUCAUGUGUACAUUGUUACAAUAUUUCAGGCUUAUUCCUUUCUAUUAUCAGUUGAGUUAGUCCUAUGCUGGGGAAUCAGUCGUGGAUGUGUGGCGCGACACCCACUGGUAACUUUGUGUUGUGUUUCCACCCCACUAUUUCCACAGAGCCGGGACCGAGGCGAGCCGCGAGCGUACCGAGGUAAGAGAUAUCGCCGCCUUAUCAAGAUCAGCCACCAAAGUGGUUUCAUUUUGUAGUUAAAGUACCUCUAUGCAUGCCCUCUUGUACAAUGAUGGUAAAUGUGUAAAGGAAAAAAUGUAAUGGUAUUANNNNNNNNNNNNNNNNNNNNNNNNNUUCUAAGUGCAUGAAUUACCCUCAGAAACAGCUAAUUGGGGGUAUUUCCGACGCCGUUGGUGCGCUCGGUUAAGUUACGAAGAGUUUAUAGGAAAGAUAGUUGGGCAAAAGUGGCUAGUUGGCUUCGGUUUUGCCGCAGGUGAAGAACGAGAGCCAUACACUCUCAAGAAAAUCGUCGAAGGACCUUUGAAAGCCUAACGAGGUGGGUGGUGCUUUCCCAACUCCGUGAACUUCUCUCUAUGCUAAUGUGUCAAUUCAAUUGAGGCAUGAUGUACAUAUUUUUUUUUUUUUUUUUUUUUUUUUUUUUUUUUUUUUUUUUUUUUUUUUUUUUUUUUUUUUUUUUUUUUUUUUUUUUUUUUUUUUUUUUUUUUUUUUUUUUUUUUUUUUUUUUUUUUUUUGUUGC